rnacentral:lncRNA from 1 species
GUUGUACCUCGCAAGCUUCGAAGACUCCUGAGCGAGCUUCUCGAAGAUGUCGUUGAUGAAGCUGUUCAUGAUGCCCAUGGCCUUGCUGGAGAUUCCGAUAUCAGGGUGGACCUGCUUCAACACCUUGAAGAUGUAGAUCUUGUAGGUCUCGACGCUCUUCUUCGAUCUCUUCUUCUUCUUAUCUCCAGCGGCGGCUCCGGCUUCCUUCGGAAGCUUCUUGCCGGCCUUGGGCUUCUUCUCCGCGGGGGCUUUCUCAGCCACGGUGGACUUCUUCUCCUCAGCUGGCUUUUUCUCGGCGGGCUUCUUCUCGGCUUUAGGCGCCAUUGGUGGAGUUCUGAGGGAAAAGUUUGAGGUUGGGUAUUUGGGGAUUUUAAGAGUUGGAUUUGAGAGUUGGGAUAUUUUUGUUAUGACUAAGCAGUGAGGAGGGCUAUCUGUUUAUAUAUGCUGAGGGUUGGAUUCUAUUGGGUAUUGGGAUUUCACGCGGAUCCCUGACUUGGAUUAUAUACUCAGUUUUUUAAUUUUUUCAAAAAUAGUAUAGCCGUACGGCUAUACUAUUUUACACGUGGGCCCCUGGUCGCUGUGCACCUCGUCUGUUUUUUAAGUGAAUAGUAUAACCGAGCGGCUAUACUAGAUUAUUUUCUAAUUUUGUUUAAAAAUAGUAUUUUUUAAAAUUAUCUUUAAUAAAUAAUAUAGACGAGCAGCUAUGGUAUAUAAAUAAUAUAUAUGCAUAUGCAUUUUUCAACGAUACAUUCGUGUUCUAUAUACAUCUCACGUUUUUUAAAACGUAACGUACAAUAGUCGUAUUGUACAUGUAUGUACAUAUUUCUAAUGUUUUAUACACAUAUUUUUUACAAAAUUUUCAGUAAGACACACAAAAUUCACGUAUUAUACAAAUAAUUCUAACAUAUUAUUGAAUAAGCAUAAUAUAUGUUAUAAAAAUUAUAUUAAAAUAUUAUAUACUGGCCGAUUAAUAUAUACUUUAGAUAUGUUGAAACUAGAAAAUUAAUAUCUAUAAAGUACAAACUAAUGCAACUAGGAGGGUCCCUUUUAAAAUUUUUUUUUAUAGUAUAGCCGUGCGGUUAUAUCUUUUAAAUAUAAUUUAUUUAAAUAGUAUAGCUGUGCGGCUAUGCUACGAUUUUUAAAAUAAAAAAUAUAUUUUUGUGCUGCUAUACUUGUUUUUGACACAUGGCACCUAAUCGCUAAAAGGUCCUCGUUUUAAAAAAAUAGUACAGUCGCACUAAUAUACUCCGUGUUUUUUUUUAUUUUUAAAAUAGACUUAUUUUGACACGUGACGCUUAAUCAAUGGGGAUCCUUUUUUUUUAAAAUAUUAUAUAUAUAUAUACAUAUAAUCUAUAAAGUACAAAUUAAUGCAUCUAAGAGGUUCCUUUUUUCUUUUUUGUUUUCAUUAAAUCGUAUAGCCGGGCGGCUAUAUUACGAUUUUUUUUAUUUAUAAAAAAUAGUAUAGCCGCACAACGAUACUAUUUAAUAUAAAUAAAUAAAUAAAAAAAAGGACCAUCCUAGUUGCAUUAGUUUGUACGUUAUAAAUAUUAAUUUGUUAGUUUCAACAUAUCCAAAGUAGAUAUUAAUCUUCCACUAUAUGAUAUUUUAAUAUAAUUUUUAUAUCAUAUGUUAUUCUUAUUCAAUAAUAUGUGAAAAUUAUUUGUAUAAUACAUGAACUUUGUGUAUCUUACUGAAAAUUUUGUAAAAAAUAUGCGUAUAAAACAUUAAAAAUAUGUACAUACAUGUACAAUACAACUAUUGUAAGUUUGCUUUUAAAAAAACAUGAGACGUGUAUAGAAUACAAAUGUAUUAUUAAAAAAUACAUAUGUAUAUAUAUGUAAAAGACUAUAGCCACUCGUCUAUACUAUUUAUUAAAGACAAUUUUUUUUAUAAAAAAAACCAGUAAAGCCGCCCGGCUAUAUUGUUAAUGAGAACUAUCCUUGAAUAGCCCGUCUCGCACACAUCAGAGCUUCAAUGGCAGCUUCAGUUUCAGCAUUCAGGACACUGUUACAGCUGCGCUUUCUAGCAUUUCCAAAGCAAAACUCCUUGUUCUGAUUCCUCAUCACCACACCCAGAUCCGCGUCAUGGUUCUUCCAGGCAUAAUCAAAAUUGACUUUUAUUGCACCAUUUUUAGGGGACUUCCAGAUUUCAGAGGGCGGGAUGAUGACACCAAUCCCAUUCCUAGAGGAGGCAACUUGAUUUUUCACAGCUUCAAAUUCAGAAGCUGCGGAAACAGCAUUUUCCAUCACCUUUUUGGGGUCAAUCAUAGUCUUCAAAAAGGAAUUUGCACAUUGUUUUCCAAAUUUGCCAUGCAAUGAAACUAGUCAAUGAUAGAACCCAAACUUGCUCCUUUGACAGAACAUGACAGUUUAACCCAUUGAGCCAACGAUCAAUAGUGGUGAAGCUUUGCAGGUUCACUCAAUAAUUCAAGGGGGAGCCAGGCAGAUGGAGGACUUGAUAAUCCUUCUACCAAAAAGGUUUAGCCUGGCGGGCAAUGCCCUCCCCAUCAAGCGCCAGAGAAAAAACUUGAUUUUUGGCUGAGUGGAAAUCUUCCAGAUGGUUUUCCAAACACAACCCUCAAUCACAUGGGACUAACGGUUAUUCCUUCCAAUAGAAGAAACAAAGACCACCCGCUUGUUAUAACCUGAUCUCACAGAAUACAAACCAGAGUUGUUCCAAGGCCACACAAUUAUGUCUUCCCUAAGCAAAUUACCAACGGGAACCUCCCUAUGCACAUCCCGUAGUUGAUUGUGUAGAAACACGUGGAAAGUAAACAAACAAGUCAUAUUUGUGGAGACAAUAUAUAACUAGAUCAACCAUAUCUAUAAAACGAAGACCAUUAUCGACAAACUAAACUACAAGGCCAUUAUCAUACUGAGAACCAAAAUCUCUAUAAAACGACGAACAAAUGUCAUUCUACAACAUGAUCACUAAUAGCAGAAUAACAUAAAAACCCAAUCUUUCACAAAUUGAAGCACUAAAGGACCAAAAAUAUCCAAAAACAAUUGGGUCAAAAAUAUCAAAUGACAUGCGGUAGGAUUCCCAAUCAAAAAAUCCCACACAAUCCAACAACAUAUAGGCAAAACACCGAAUAUUAUAUGAACCAGAGCAGGAACGAAAAAUACACAUUUACUAAUUACAACCCUAACCCUAAUCAAAGAGAAGCCAUUCCAAUCCACACCCACACCCCAACAACGCCCUUCAAGAGCUUGUAAACUUGGUCACCGCCUUGGUCCCUUCAGAAACGGCGUGCUUGGCGAGCUCACCGGGAAGCACGAGCCUCACAGCAGUUUGAAUCUCCCGAGAAGUAAUCGUCGGCUUCUUGUUGUACCUCGCAAGCCUCGAAGACUCCUGAGCGAGCUUCUCGAAGAUGUCGUUGAUGAAACUGUUCAUGAUGCCCAUGGCCUUGCUGGAGAUUCCGAUAUCAGGGUGGACCUGCUUCAGAACCUUGAAGAUGUAGAUCUUGUAGGUCUCUACGCUCUUCUUCGAUCUCUUCUUCUUCUUAUCUCCGGCGGCGGCUCCGGCUUCCUUCGGGAGCUUCUUGCCGGCCUUGGGCUUCUUCUCCGCCGGGGCUUUCUCAGCCACUGUGGACUUCUUCUCCUCAGCAGGCUUCUUCUCGGCAGGCUUCUUCUCAGCCUUGGGCGCCAUUGUUGGAGUUGUGAGAGAAAAGUUUGAGGCUGGGAAUUUGGGGAUUUUACGAAAUGGUUUGAGAGUUGGGAUAUUUUUGUGACGAGUGAGUAGUGAGGAGGGAUGUCUAUUUAUAUAUGCCGAGGGUUGGAUUCUAUUGGGUAUUGGGAUUUCACGCGGAUCGCUGACUUGGAGUGUGGCUUCGGCCGUGGGAUUGGGUUUGAGAAAGCUAGGGAAUCGACGGUUGAGAUGAGGUAAGCUGGUUCAAGCGGAUUGGUGACGGAUCGGUGGGCUUGGGUGGGAUCUGACGGUGGAUAGUUUUUAGAUGAAAUUGGUAGUGGGUGGUUGGCAUGGGUUAUUCGAUAUGGAUCGUUGACAUCAUCCGGAAUCCGAGUGUGGUCCAAAUAAAGUUUUGUUUUUCAUAUAAAAAACUUUCAUGUUUUGUUAUUUUAUCAGAAAAUUCCAAGUUUUAAAAACUUUUGAUAACAAAAAAAAUCCAAUUAAUCGAAAUUUAUUAAGGACUUUUCAUAAACUGAUAAAUCGGUAAACCAAACUGAAAAAAUAGGUUUUGACUUGAAUUGGUUCGGUUCUUGGUUUUUGCCGCCACUCAAAAAUGAACCGGAGUGAUUAUAUAUUGUCAUCUAAUGUAUUAAUAUCUAAAUCAUUUUUUCGUAUGAGCCUAAUACCAAAAUCUCAACCUUGGUCAUCUCCCUCGCGGUCAAACAACCUCCGUCUAUGUAAAUUUGGGGUACCAAAACUAAAUUUCUAGAAUUUUAUUAAAAUAUUUAAUAUUAAUUAUUCAUUGAAUAAAUAAUAAUUAAAACAUAAUUACUAAUGAAAGUAUUUGAAUAAUGCUAAGAUAUUAUUUAAUUAAUAAAAAAAGAAAAUUUUAAAAAGGAUAUUUUAAGAGUAUAGCCGCGCGGCUAUACUCUUUAAAUAGAAUAUUUUAAAAGUAUAGGCGCUUGGCUAUACCCUUUGAAUAGCCUAAUCUUGAUUUCUCCUUUUUAAUUACUUUGUGUAGUAGUUAUGUUUUAAUUACUAUUUACUUAGUGAAUAAUUAGUAUUUAAAUAUUUGAUUAAAUACAAUUUUAAAAUUUUAAAAAUAAUUACCAUUUAUUACGUUAAUUAAAAUAUUUAAUUCUUCACUAAAGAAAUAAUUAAAACAUAAUUAUAUAUUAUUUAAUUACAAAAAAGAAAAUUUAAAUUACAAAUUUAUUGGACCUAAAAGAUACUAAAUUUAUAUUUUAUUUUAAAAUAAAAUCUCCCCCUACAAAGUUUUGUCGGCGCAGGUCUAUCCCGGCGAAAUUUCUUAAUUUGCCGAAUUAGACUUUCUCCUACGAAAUCAACCUCUGCCGAUGAAAGGGAACUUCAUAUUGACAUGUUGUAUACCAUAUCACCACAUGUAUCUUUCUUUUUCUGAUUUUAAUAGGAUGCUUCUAGUUGGAGCAUGGUUGUAAAUUUGUUCAACAUCAAUGGAAAGGGAACUUCAUACAGUUUUGUCCAUAAUGGAAAACGAAUUUCACACAGUUUUAAUAUAUAUAAAUAGGCGCUAAGAGGCUGCUUUUUUUAAUUUGUUGAGGCCUUCUCCAUCAUCCACUCAAAAAGGAUGAAAAAGGAGGGCUCUCCUCCUAACGUAAAAAGCCUCCAAAAGUUUGGCUUUUAUCUUCUUUCCUUUUCCUCCAAGAAUGCAUAAAGAACGAAAAGCUUCGGCCCUUGGGGCUUUUUUUCUUCUUCCCCACGAAGAGAUAAAGAGAGAAGCCUGCAAGGUAGGCCUCUCUCUCUCUCUCUCUCUCUCUCUCUCUCUCUCUCUCUCUCUCUCUCUAAAAGAACGUAUAAGGAAAAAUCAGUUUCAAAAAGCAAAUGGGGAUUUUCUUCCCCUGCCUUCUCAGCUUUGUUCAUUCCAUUUCCUAAGUUAGGAAACAGAAUUGAAAACAUGAAGAGAGUUGACAAAGUAGCAUCAAAGACUUAUACGAACAAGAACCCUUUCAAAGCUCACCUGUUAAAUUAUUCGAAUAAAAAUAUAUUAGUAGAUUUAAAUAGUAUAGCCAGAAGUAUAACCGCACGGCUAUACUAUUUUUUAAAUAUUCGGGCAUAUUUAAGAAGUAUAGCCGCCCGGCUAUACUAUUUAAAUACACGAAUAUUUUUGCGCAAUAUAGCCGCCGGCUAUACUAUUAAAUAUUCUAAUAUAUUUAAGAAGUAGAGCCGCCCGCACGGCUAUACUAGGGAGAUUCACUAUUAUACCCAAUAUAGAGGCCCAAAUUAUAAAAAUACCCCAUAUGAAAUGAACUUUAGAAACACACCCAAAACCCAUCUACAACAUAACAAAGAGACUCUUAACUUCUUAUGAAUUAUAAAACUGCCAUCAAUUUCUUAAAACAAGCUCAAUCUCAAAAUCUCAUAAAAAUACCCAAAACACUCAAUAGGUCAUCAAAGUAAUUUAAUAAUAAAUAUUAAAUUCAAUAAGGUCAGUUGUCAUUUUUUGGGUUUGUUUAUAGAAAUUCAAUGGUAUAGGGUUUAUCUAUAAUAUUAGUGCUAAGAAUGGGUAUAUCACUAAAUAUCUCAUGAAGGUAAUCAUGGUAGCAAAUGCUUUGUAUUUGGAAUGAUAUUUGUUUUACUUGUGAAACGGUUUCAGUUUUUUGUAGGUUGAAAAGGUUACAGUAAGUAGUACAUGAUGAAUUAAGUAGGAUGAUGAGUUGGGUUGUCAAAUGAGUUUUAAGGCUUUUGAUAAUAUUAUUGAAUGAUGACUUUGAGCCUAAUUUAACUGGGAUUGGGCAGUUUGAUGCUUAUGUCAAUGUAGAUCAAACAAGUAGUCAUUGAGGAUGAACAACAAGAAUCCAACUGAUAUGAUUCUAAGUUGGAUGAAAGCAAUAGCCAGGUCAAAGAAAAAUCCAAAGGCACGUCACAAAGGUCCUAUAGCUCCUCAUACUUGGGUUUUAGAUUCGUUAUCUCGUGGAAAGAACUUGAAUUGCCGUGUAUGCUUAAAGUCCAUGUGCCCUUCUCAAACUCUUGGGCCUAUGACAGUUUCAGACAGUUUUAGUCACCGUUGCAGUAUUUGUGGUGCAGCGCUCACCUAAGCUGCUCUUCUAGUGCGCACAAGGAUUACUCCGCUGGUGAAUUUUUGAGCUCCAGUACCCAAAGCACUAUGGUGGAUUAGUAAGUGUGGUUAACAUUAGAGAGUUGGGCCAAUGGCCUUGGCUAUAGGCUUGGCUUUGGAUUCGGCUUUCAUUAAUAAUAAUUAUAAAAAAUAUAUAUAAUUUUUAUUCAGUAAUACGUGUAUAAUACGUGAAUUUUGUGUGUCUUGGUGAAACGUUUGUAAAAACAUACGUGUAUUAAACAUGAGAAAUAGAAAUUAAUUACUUUGUGUUCUUUUUCUUCAAUCUUUUUACAUUAAAUAAUAAUUAAAAUAUAAUCACUAAGCAAAGUGAUUCCAAAAGGCUAAGAGUAACUAUAGUAAAUUAAAGAAGUAGGCCAAAAAACAAAAGUGAAGAAACAAAUUUUAUAUUUUUAAAUUAUUUAAAACAACAAAUAAAAAUGAGUAUAGCCGUGUCGCUGUACAUCUUUAAAAAAAGGACGCUCCCAGCCCCUAGCUGCCACGUGUCAGAAGAUUGAAGCCUUUUUUUUUAUAUAAAAAAAAAAGGAAAAACGAGUACAGCCGGCCGGCUGUAUUGUUUUUCAAAAAACAAUUUCAAACAAAUAGUGCAGCAGCGCGGCUAUACUAUUUGUAAAGACCAGGCUCCCUAGCUGCCACGUGUCAGAAGACUGAAGCCUUUUAUUUAUUUAUUUUUUAAAAAAAGGAAAAGCGAGGACAGCCGCGCGGCUAUACUAUUAUAUAUUUGUAAAGACCGGCCCAUGUGCUCAGCCCACGUGUCAACGAGGUCCAGCCGCCCGGCUAUACUGUUUUAAAUGCCAAAACGGGUAUAGCCGCGCGGCUAUACUUUCUUUUUGAAAAACAAUUAGGGAAAACUUGGGCUAUACCCUUUUUUUCUUUUUCUUUUUCUUUUUUUCAAUAAACAAAAAAGUAUAUAUUGUUUUUAUUCGGUAAUACGUGUAUAAUGCGUGAAUUUUGUGUGUUUUAGUGAAAUUUUUGUAAAAACAUACGUGUAUUAAACGUGAGAAAUACGUGCGUACAUGUAUAAUACGGGUAAUAACUUUGGAAAAGUAAAGAAUCAAAAAGGGACGAUACGUACUCGAGUAAUGGUAUAAUAGUAAUGGAUAGGGCUCUUGGGCUAUGGAGAAAUUGAUUUAAGAUACCCAAACGAUUUCACAAAAGACUUAAUAAGUAGAAAUUAAUUACUUUGUGUUCUUUUUCUUCGAUCUUUUUACAUUAAAUAAUAAUUUAAAUAUAAUUACUAAGCGAAGUGAUUAAAAAAGGCUAAGAGUAACCAUAGUAAAUUAAAGAAGUAGGCCAAAAAACAAAAGUGAAGAAACAAAUUUUAUAAUUUUAAAUUAUUAAAAAUAACAAAUAAAAAUGAGUAUAGCCGUGCGGCUGUACUAUGCAUAUCUUUAAAAAAAAAGGACGCCCCCUAGCUGCCACGUGUCAGAAGAUUGAAGACUUUUUUUUAUUUUUUAUUUUAAAAAAGGAAAAGCGAGUACAGCCGCGCGGCUAUACUAUUAUAUAUUUGUAAAGACCAGCCCAUGUGCUCAGCCCACGUGUCAACGAGGUCCGGCCGCCCGGCUAUGCUGUUUUCAUCAUUUCUUACUUCUAAUUAUAUUUUUAAUGCUUAUAAUUUGAAUUAUCUAGUGGAAACAAAAAAUGGAGUGAAAAAAAUUCAAAUUAAAUGGGUUGGUUUUUGGGCUCGAGUAUGGCACGAGCACGGCCCGGCUUGGCCUGUUUCAAUGUGGACAUGGGUUUUGAGCCGGGCCGGGAUCAAAGAUUUUACUAAAUAGGCCUACACGACACGGCCCAAUAAAUUAAAUAGAUUGGCCCAGCCUGGCACGAAAAUAUUAAAAGUACGAGUUUAAAUGGAACGGGCCUGCCCAGCACGGCUCGUUUAACACCUCUAAUCACACGACAGUUUGGGUUGGAAUCCUGAUCGUCGCCUGCGAUCUGGGCCUAGGCUGUUUUGCAAUUUUAUUUUAUUUUUUUCGAAAUUCUGAAAUUUUCACCGUAAUCCCCCCUAUUAUUGAAUUCCUAUUUUUGGCUACUGUUCAUAUUUUACCCUUCAAAUAGAUCUGACAUUUUCAAACUCAAAUUUCUCCUUCCUUACAAUUCUUAUUCACAAACCAUUCGCGCCCACCCGCUCUUGAGAUCGGGCUCUAUUUCUCCAUCCAAAAAUUAUAUGUUCCUCAUUUCAAUUUCUUGAACGUCCUUUGAAAAAUUAUAAACUUUAAACAUAGGGCAUUUUAGUCCCAAUUUAAGAUUAAACUCACUUAACUCCAUUAUUUCCACACCAAACCAACUUCAAAAAUUGCCCAAUAUUAUUAUCAAUCCCAUAUGAUUUUUCGAAACAUUAAUAACAACAAAAUCCCUAAUUUUGAGGUCAUUACAAUCAGGCUCUUGGGUUGGGGUUUGAACCGACGCCUGAAACUUCUGUUCUACCUUACCAAUGGAAGCUUGAGCUCAGUGCUACAAGGUGCUGGUAAGGGAGGAGCAGAUUGGGAGGCUACAUAUGAUGUUGUCUUAGGCAUGGCUCAGGCGCUUGCCCACUUGCACCACGACUGUGUGCCUGCUAUUUUGCAUGGUGAUGUCAAAGCCGUGAACGUGUUGUUGGGUCCUGGCUAUGAGCCUUAUCUUGCUGGCUUUGGAUUCGCUGGGAUUGUGAAUGGCAUUGGUGAUGAUGAUUUUUCUAAAACAAGCCAAAGGCCUCAAUUGUUCUUAUGGAUACAUGGCUCCUUCUUUUCAUAAUUUUAGUUCCUAAUUUUCUUACCAUAUUUUCUUCUAAAAAUCACUAAAUUUAGUUAGUUUCUUACCAUGUUUUCUUUUUGUGUGACUACAGAGCAUGCAUCAAUGCAGCGUAUCACUGAGAAAAAUGAUGUCUACAUUUUUGGUGUGGUUCUUUUAGAGGUAUUAACAGGGAGGCAUCCAAUAGACCCAACUUUGCCGGGGGUGCACAUUUAGUUCAAUGGAUUCGUGAGAACUUGGCAAGGAAACGAUAUCUGGUUGAUAUCCUUGAUCAGAAGCUUAGGGGAAGAGCUGAUCCUACAAUGCACGAAAUGCUGCAAGCACUAGCUGUGGCAUUCCUUUGUUUCAGCACUCGUGCUGAUGAUCGCCCGAUGAUGAAAGAUGUCGUAGCAAUGCUUACAGAAAUUCAACAUCUUGAGACUGCAAGGGGAGAACCAGAAUUGUUAAAGGAAGGAGGGUUGCAAUAACUUUGGCAUCCCCUCCUGCUAGGAAAGCAGUUUCGCAAGGCUCUUCUAACUGCACCUUCGCUUUCCCUGAAGAUUCAAUGCAAUGAGAAGUUAUGAACUUUCAUCCACCGUGCAAAUUAUCUUGAGAGAAUCAAAAUCCCAUAGAACAAGGAAGAAUACAGAGGAAGAAUUUUAGUGUAAAUUUAGAUUUUAAUUAUAUGUAGUUCUUGUAGAUCGAAAUAAUCAAUGCCUCCCCACUAAGAAAGAAUGGUCUUUGGGGGAAUAUGUGAUGGCUUAACUGUCUUCCGGAGGAGUGAGAGUAAAUGCAGGGUAUGUAGUAGAAGUGUUAAACAAUGAUUGGUAUUUUUGCAUUUAUGUACUUAGAAUUUAAUGUGAGGGAAUGAGAUUCCAUUCCAUGACAUCUUUUCUUUCCAGCAAUGCUCACAGUCCUCCAACUCCAGAUCACAUGUCCAUUUGCUUACCUGAGCAAGACUUUCCAGCAAAGAAAUACUAAUCUUGGAUUAGAAGACUUUCAUCUCUCAUUAUCAGAAAGCACAUGUAGAAAAGCAGGACCAUUACUUAUACCUGUACAGAUAUGUAAUACACAAACCAAGUAAACUGUUCCAUAACAUUACAGCUGCACAUGGAUUUGCAUCCACUUUAUCAGCAUAUUGCAGAUAUCUAAGUUUAAGUACUUUCUUACGAGGUCCAAAAACACCCUAAAAUAUCGAAGCAAAUCUAACGGUUCUUACAGUGAGUAUGGACAAUACAAACAAACACAUGAAAAGUGGAGCUUGUGAUCUUACUAUCCGCAGGUUGAUUAGAGGUAAUUAUUUUCAAAUACAGCAACACAAACAACAAAAUUUCAUUGAGGUAAAUAUAAACAAUACAUGAAUACAAAAGAGUUUCAAUUUUCGGACACAAAAUGGUGUUUCCUAUCAAAAACAGCCAAAUAGUGCCACUUCUUGCUCGUCUUCUAGCUAUGUUGCCAUUAAAGUAGACUUCGCCCCACCUAAAACUAGGUGGUGGCAUGGUAGGUUAACGCAACAUUAUGUCCGGUACUGGUAAGGGCUAAAGUGAGUAAUUUUCUAGCCACAGCAGCGACAUUAUAGACCCAAACCCUGUCCUUACUACACAACAUUUCAGUUGAUGGUUAUGGACUAGGGUGGGUACUGAGAUUCUAACUUCUUUAAUACGAAGCCAAUAACAUCCCAGCUGAAUCCACGAUACUGAAGCCAAUGAACAAUCCUUGAUUUCCUUGUCUCUUUAGGCACUUCUUGACCUCGAAGCCACUGCUUUGAGGCCUGAACAAGUAAAUUAUCCAUUGAGAGCUUUGACAGGCCAUGAACUAACUUCUGAUCAUUAUCUGAUUCUCCCUCCUCAAAAACCAAUUUAAUUGCAUUCUCAGCAUCAAGUUUACUCACUCCCUUGCUGAAAAGUGCCUGAUCCAACAACAAUGCUUCAUUACAUAAAAACAGACAUUUCACCCUUGCUAAUUUGGAUAAUCAAUACUAACAUUUAUCUUGACUUGUUUCAUUCUUUCUUAUUGCUCUAGAUCAGAUUUUUAAAACAAAUAAAGACUCCAACAAGAGCUGACUACCUAGUGCAAUAUCAACACAGCUACUCUUUCUUAAAUCAGGCUGCACCGUGGAAAAACAAGGAUUAACAUUACAAUCUCAGUCCUUCAACAUUUCAAUCUAACAAUAGUCAUCUCAAUCUACCAAAUUUCUAUUAUACUGAGAAAUAGUAUGGUCCCCAACUUAAGGAAGACCAUCUAGAACAAGAAAAUGCUUCUGCAUACAAGCUAUCAUUGAUUAGGCCUCUACAAUAAACUUGAAGGGUCACAAAAGAUGUCAUAUCAUAUAUAAUAUAGCAUGAAACUUUGGAAUUCACUUCUGAAAAUGACAAUAAAACUACAGUAAAAAAGUAAAGAAAUAGUUGGAGAUCAGUUCACACGCGCACAAAAGAACACAAUACCAAACAUUAAUAAUGACUGGUCCGAAAAAAAGAAAAAUGGUGUUACUCGGGUGCUUUGAAAGACCUAAGAAAAGAAAAGAAUGGGAAGGUAUAUCCGGGUACUGAGAAAUCCCCUGUGGUGUUACACUUGAAAAGUUUCAGCCUCUUGCUAAUGAGAUUUGAAAAUUAACAAUAACCAUUGACAUGAUUGUUAGCCAGCAAAACUAAUUCACUACGGUCUACCAGACUUAUAAGUUUAGGGCCACAAUUUUUUUUAUAGAAUUGUAAGUAAUACUUCCACAAUUUUUCUUGUACAUCUUUUGAGUAGUAACUGAAUCAGUCUUACAACUUGCAUUGCAUGUAGAACCAGUUUCUAAGCUCAUUGUGGAAUAAUUACUCAAGCAUGUGGAGUUUUCAAACAUAGUUAUUUCCAGAUAAUUGGCUGAUGAGCACUCUCAACAUAAGACAUUCUCAGGACUAGAAAUGUACCUGCUAAUGAAGUCAUUUAUCACUGCCUCAACGGUAUCUAGAGUAAAGUUAUUUCCAUGUAAUUUCUUUCUAAGUUCAACUGCUGUGAAAGCCCUACAAAGAAAAAGAGCUUCUUAAACAAUUUUUUUUUCUUCUUCAUUCACAGGCAAACAUCCUUAUUUUCAAACUUCUAUAGCAUCUUAACUCCAGGAAUGCAUAUGCUCAAACCCUCAGAUUGCUAUGGCAAAAUCAUGUACUUCUUUUGUUCAGAACUCUGUCUGCUGAUAAUUCUCCGACAUUUUAACUUGAGAAGAUUUCUUGGGAAUGUACCUAAUGAGAAGCGAUGAACUGUAACCUCUGCUUUUCAAGCAUGUGAUUGCAAUUUUCUCCCUAGCCCUACAAAUGAAAGAUUCCGUAUAUACUACAAAUGGCAGUUGCUUCUUUUUUUUUUUGGUCCAGUUUUCUCUGGUGCACAAACUUGUUAUGAUAUGUUAUGAUAACAGGCUGCUUUUUUCAAAUAAAGCAAUGCUAGGAAGUUUCUUUUUCAAAAAGCAGGUUGUUUGGCCGGCCCUCUGGAUUCUGGUGUAACGCAUACUAGUCAAAUAAUAGGAAAUUACAUAUAACCAUGCAUCUAAAUUUGGAAAAUUAAUAUGAACCAAAAAUAAUCACAAGAACAAACAGUUGGUUAUAAAACAGAAAAUAAAGUAAAAAAUGAAUCUAGACUGAUAUUUGGCCUCCCAAAAAACAGAAUCCAAACUGCUUGAUCUAAUAAAAUGAAAAUGUAAAGCGAUGUUGCAAUUCAUUUUUGGUUUACUUCUUUGGCAGUUGGAAAUUAGUAGAGAUAUUCAGAUCAUAUUCAUACGAUUAUUGAAUUAUAUUGGGAAAUACCAUUUACUGUUCCCAUAUGAUCAAGUUUAUUGAUGAAACACUAUUCAUAUACUUGUUCAUACUUGGAAAGGAAAGGGAAGGAAAGGGAAGAAACAACAAAAACAAAAGCUAGUUACAUGGUACUGAGAGGCAGUACUCCAUUAUACGUAUAUAGUAGCCUAUGUGGAUAUCAAUUUAAAACAAAAGGAGCCAAAAAUGACAGAAAUAAUUGGCGAGUUUUAUCUCUUUUUUACUUUUUUUACAAAACAAGCUAAGUUCUUGUUGUUGAAAUAAAACAGAAAACAAAAAGAGAGAAAUGAAUCUAGACUGACUUUUGGCCUCAUAAGAAAACAGAAUCAAAACUGCUUGUAACCCAAGAAAGGGAAAUAAUCCGGGUCUUUUAUGAAAAACAAAGAAAUAUAUAUAUAUAUUUUUUUGCUAUUCUGGACUUUUCUGUGUUCACAGGGAGUGGUAAGGGCUCCAAUUUUUGGGGACAUGACAGCUAAUCCAAUUAAAAUCACUUGCCUGAAAAUAUGGAAUUAUUUUACUACAGAUCAUAAGAGAGAGAGCCAAUGAUUGACCAAAUUCCAACAUGUAUAUAUGAUCAUAUCAGAAAAUGAGGACAGCAACCAGAACCAAUAUUAUAAAACUAUGCACGCUACGUUCAAGCAGGAUUCUUCAACUGAAUUGCUUUUCCCAUGCCCAAGAACACAAAAAUUAGCUACUUGGUCACCAGGAAAGUAAAGUCACAAUCUCUAACAUUUCUUCAAGUAACUAGAUAUAACUGGAGCUCUAACCAUUGAUGCAAUUUUAAAAUAGGUUCAUCUAUCAUUAAAUUGCAGCAAAACAUCUACAUAACCUAAAGAAAUUCCAUGGAAUUCCGUAGUCCAUGGCUUCCAACACAAUGUGACAGGUGCAAAAGAUUCUAGAUACUUACAUAAAAGAAUGUCACAUUGUUGUAAUUUUCAUAUCACUCACCAUGACACCUAAACAGUUGAAACUUCAAAGUGCAUGCAAUAAAUAUGUGAGUGUAAAAUACCUGCAAAAGAAAUGGUUCCAUCCCAGUAAAUGUGUUUGCAUCAUGCCACAGUGAACUAAUCAAAUGAUCAAGAUAUACCUUCCAACGGAUACCGCCUCCAGCAAUAUUGGUGACCUAUGUCCCAUCUCCUUUUCACCAAACUAAUCAAAGGCUUUUACUAGUGAUAUUCUAAUUAACAAACAUCAAGUGCACACAUUAGACAAUAGUCAAAUAUUAAUUAAAAGAAGUAGCAUAAAAUCACAAACCAUGUUAUGUUUACCAACCCCUCAAAGAAACAUCUAUUCUAAUUAAGCUUUAAUACCAAUAAAAAUACAAUACAUCACAAACUAUCCCUGCCUUAUCUAAGACAACUGAAACAUAGUUAUUUUCACAAGUACUACCUCAACUGAAACAUCCAAGGCCUAAUAUGCAAUCAUAUGCUACACAGAUGCUUCAUUGCCUACAAAUUCAUACAGUGCUUCAAUAAACCGUCCUCUAAACUUAUUCCAAAGUAUAAAGAAAAUUAAAUUCCGUUUUCAAAGUGAGAAUUUUCCCAAAUUAAUCAUAGGUGCCUGAAAAAAAUCUUAUGGAGCUCGAGAUAGGACAAGCAUCAAAAUUGACAGACACCCAAGCAAAAAACAACAAAAAAUUUCUGUGAAGUUCAACCAAAAUACAGAGAUAAACUGCUUUUUCAACAUAUUCACAAAAACGUCAGUCACAAAUAGUCUAAUUUUACGACACUUAAGCAAUGAUAGAGAAAAAAAAAUUAACUUUUUUGAUAAAAAGAGAGUACCUGGAGGUUCGUGAUGUAAGUAAAUUGUGACCUUCUCUGUUCCUUUGCAUCUUCGUCUAUAUGCGAGAGAGAUGGGCUUGAAAAAGGAAGGGAGGGUUAGUAAGAUUGUUAUUCAAAAAGAAUGAAAUCAGGUGUCAUGGUGCAAUUUUCAACAGCCAGCACUAAGGUUGAGUACCUGUGAUGAUAACAUCUGAACCAAACAAUAGAUUUUUAACAAUGGCAUUUUGGUGUUCCCAUGAUAGGAAACCCUUGAAGUGAUCAUAGACAUUCUAGUUACCAAUUUCACCUUCUCAAGACUACAUUCUGAAUGAUGUCAUUUUGACCUCAAAUUGAAUUGUCGAUCACUGCAAAUUCUUUUUUCUUUUCUUCAUAAACCAUGAAAGAAACCUGAUCUUUCCACAGCAUCUAUAGAAAAUGGUUCUCAUUUACAAUUAAAUAGAAAGGAAAAUCAAAGCAUUGCAAACAUUUAAAAGUAGGUGUGCUAAAGCAUUGCAAACAUUUUAUAACAAGGCCAAACUGGUCAACGUUAUAAAAUAACAUGUAUAAUAGUAUGCUGGAGAUUUGACGUCGUUAAUGGUGUCCAGAGCCUGCAAAAAAGCAUCAGCAAUAUGGAACACCCACUCACCUGAUAAUGAUAUUGAGCGAGACUAUUAAGAGUCAAAUACAUGCAUAACAUAGAACACUAAAUAACUGGUAUUUCCUCAGGACUCAAACUGCAAGAGUUUCUGUAUAAUAUAGGUUUAAGUUCAAGGUGACCAUUCAAGCACUCAGUCAUAAGAAUGAAAGUAAUACACCAAAGUCAAUUUAAUGAAAAAACAAGGUAAAAGAUCAGAGUAUUCUUAGAAUAUUACAUUCUCCAUAAAAAGCAAAUAAAGUUUCACAUUCAUCAAACAGAGUCAUUAUCAAAACUUUCAUACGCCAUUUGAGACUGCACCAUUUGAGAGGAGUGCUGACGUUUACCUGUUUCAUUGUUUAGCAAAAAUAUAUCAAAUUCCAAAAGAGAAAAACCAAACCAGAAAGAAACAAAUAGUGAGUUAGUGAAACUUACAGCCAAAAGGCACCACACAUGGAUAAUUUAGUUGCACUUGAGUGGGCACCAAGUAGAAAACACUGAACACUAGAAGACCCCGUUUUGAUGGUUAACACGUCUUUACUGUCUGAAAGUUGAAAUUCGAAACUUGCCACAAAAAUCGGCAUCUUCCUCAAAACUCGGCCGUUGGGCUCAAAUCCAGUGUCAAUAGACAAUACCAGACAUAUCUCUUGACCUCCUAGAUGGACGAUCCUAUAAUCUAUUUCACGGGGUUUAGCCAUAUACAGAUCACGCAACCUUUCACAGCCUGGUUGAGUAGGUAACAGAUCAUCGGGCAAGCGCAGAGGUUGAAUAGGUGUGAGUGAUGUAAAAUCCUUUGACAUGAUAUAGGCAGGCAAAGAUGUACCAUGCCAUUCAAAAUGACGAUCAGGCGCAAGCUGAUGACGAUAAGGAGGAUAAAAAUCCACGUUUGAGUUGUUGCAGUCGUAAUCGUCGCAGCAAGGGUUGUCUUUGAUUUCAUGAGGGUCAUAACUCAAUUCUAGGAAACAUGUGAAAAUCAACCAAUCCCCGUCACUCAUUUCCAGGGCUAAACUUUUCUCAUCCCAUCCGUAUGGCAAUGCAGUGCAGUUGGUAAAAGAGUGCUCUUUCCAUAUUUGGCGGCUGUCAGCCAUGUCAAAGCGGUAGAUACUAGACAAACAUGACACAAAGAUAUUACUGCCUACAACAACACUAUCGGUGUGGUGUCCACGGUAGCGUCUGUGGAAAAAUGGAGGCUCGGGCAAAGUCACCCAUUUGUCAUAUUUUGGGUCGAACAUCUCGAACCCCUCACCUGUUAACACGGAGAGAACAUAUAAAUUUUCCCUGUGCUCUACCACGUGGGGAUUAGUCUUCCCGUGUUGAAGGUCACCAUGGCGCUGUAUGCUAAGGGGAAUAUGUGACUUCAUAAUCGCAGUGUCAAACUCAAGAACUCUGCGACACGGAUUUGGUAUGAAAUUGGCUAAUCCAUCGAAUAUCGGUCUAAUGCCACCUGCCAAAAUGAUCUUGGAGCCGUGGACACCAGAACCCAUAAUUACAGGAGCACACCCCAUUGUUCUACCCACUUCAAUGGAUUCUGCCAAUGGAAGUACAUGGCAAUUUUUCUACAAAUCAAAGGCGUGUAUAUAGUAAACAUUACCAGUGCCUAGACAAUACUCGCUGAAACAAAAAUACAAGACUUUCUUCGACUUAUCCGACGGAUCAGGGUGAUCCUUCAGCUUCUCCAUACCUAGCCUCGGCUUUCUGGCUUCUUCACGCUUCGCUGCCAUCACAACGCACGGCCUCCAAUUUUACUCGUCAAUCCUUCAUAUAAUAAUUUAUUUAGAGCUUCUCCAGCGCAUCGGGCUGGCCCGGGCAACAGGCCCCAAGCAGCCCAAGUCGACCUCCAACGCAGCCAAAGCAGCCCGGGCAACAGGCGGGUCCCACGAGCCCGGGCAGGCCCAAUGGCGAAAAUCGACUGGGCUCGAGCCCGAGUUCAGGUGACGUCAGCGCAGUAAAUUCAAAUUUUUUUACCGUUGGCGCGUGUAAUACACACGCCAACGGUAAAAAAAUUUGACUGAAGUGCGCUGACGUCAUCACCAACGGUUACCUGCCACGUGCCGGCACCGGGUGGCUCCAAUUGGAUUUUUUUCAGAAAUCCUACGGUUCUCAUUUUUUUGGCCAAACAAAUUUAAAAAAAAUCCUAAAAAUCCUAAAAAAUUCUGAAAUUUUUUUUUAAAAAAUACCAAAAAUUUAUGUAUUUUUUCCUUGUAAAUACCUAACCAUUUUAUCUACUUUCAACACCAAAUCUUCAUACAAUUUCUUCUCCAUACAAUAUUUUCUACUCUCCACUCACAUAAUUCAUUUUCCACACCAAAUCUCCAUACAAACUCAUCUCCUUCCAAUAUUUUUUACUCUCUACUCAUAUUAUCCACUUUCCACACCAAUUCCAUACAAACUCUUCUCCUUCCAAUAUUUUUUACUCUCUACUUAUAUUUUCCACGUUCCACACCAAUUCCAUACAAACUCUUCUCCUUCCAAUAUUUUUUACUCUCUACUCAUAUUUUCCACACCAAUUCCAUACAAACUCUUCUCCUUCCAAUAUUUUUUUACUAUCCACUCACAUUUUUGUACAACUUUCCAUUUGUAGAAAAUAAACAAAUGUCAUCUUCUGUCGAAAUCGGAGGCUCGUGGUCAACCCAGGAAGAUAUUGCGUUGUGCGAGUCUUGGGUGAACGUUAGUCAUGACCCUAUCACGGGCAAUGAGAUGAAGUUCCAUCAUAUGUGGAGCAAAAUUCAUGGAGAAUUUUGUCAAAGAUCGGGUUCCAUUCGGACCGAAAUGGCUUUGUCUAGUAGAUGGAAAAUUUUAAACAAAGAGUUAGGGAAAUGGAGAAAUGUCUUGACAAAAGCAAAGGAGAACAUUCGGAGCGGUGCGAAUCUUUCUGAUGAGGUAAAAUAUUUUUAAUUGCCAUUUUAAUCAAUUUAAUGUAACUUUUUUUUAUUGCAUUUUCUAUUUCUUUACAUAAUCAAUUUUUGUUUUUGCAUUUUCAAUUUGUCUAUAUUUAUUUACAUAAUCAAUUUUAUUCUUGCAUUUCAAAAUAGUUUAUAAUUUCUUGCAUUGUAUAUUUUUUUAAUGCACUUCCAAUUAUUUAUUUUGAAUAGAUCAUACAAGCACAAAUGUGGUUCGGUGCCACGGGGCAAGGAAAAAAAAGUUUUGUGCAUUUCCAAUGUUGGGAAAUUGUCAAGGAUUGUUCCAAAUUCAAAAUUAUUCCUACCGCACCCCCGGUUGUGUUGCAUGAGACGCCGCUCCACAAAUCGCCAUCAACCGAUUCGCCAUUGGACUCCCCAAUGGAAACGGAGUCACCACUCCCACGUCCGCUGAGACCUAUUGGGAGAAAGGCGGCAAAGGCCAAGAGAGAGGCCACUUCGAACAUUGAUUGUGUUCAAAUAUUCGAGCAAAUAGCUAAGAACAACUCUCUAAGAUUGGAGAGAGACUUGAGGAGAGAUGAAGCGGACAAGGCACGAUUGGAAGCCUUUGCAAUUGAAAAGCAACAUGCAAAAGAAAAAGAUGACGAUGAGAGAGAGAUGAAAAUCAUGGCCAUGGAUACGAGCCAUAUGUCUCCUGAAACAAAGGCCUAUUGGAAACAUAAACAAAGGGAUGUGAUGAGAAGAAAACUUUUCCAUGACGACGGACCUACCAAUACGGAUUGGCUAAAGAAGUAGGCCAAAAAACAAAAGUGAAGAAACAAAUUUUAUAUUUUUAAAUUAUUAAAAAUAACAAAUAAAAAUGAGUAUAGCCGUGCGGUUGUACUAUGCAUAUCUUUAAAAAAAAGGGCGCCCCCUAGCUGCCACGUGUCAGAAGACUGAAGCCUUAUUAUUAAUUUUUUUUUGUAAAAAGGAAAGGGAGUACAGCCGCGCGGCUGUACUUUCUUUAAAAAAAAUUUUCAAAAAAUAGUACAGCCGCGUGGCAAUACUAUUAUAUAUUAGGAUUUCUUUAUUCUAUCCAAAGGACGAUGUUGCCCCCACAUAUUUUAAUGGGGGAAAAUUUGAAUUUUUGAUCGAGAAAGAAUUUGGGAAUUCCGCUUGCGUUGUUGCGUAGAGCACGGCAAAACGAGUCCGUAGACACGGAGUAGAUCCGAAUCGGAGUUGUAACGAAGAAAAUACGGUCAAAAUACCGCGAAGGGCAAAAUGGUAAUUUGGCCAAAGUCAGAUUUUUAUCCCUCUCCUCCUUCUCUCUCCUCAUUUCUCUCUCCUCUCUCUCUCUCUCUCCUCCCGAUUCGACCUCGCCCACGACCUCCGCUGGCUUCCGUCGUCCUAGCGGCCGCAACACUUGGAGCCGAUCUCCAAGACCGGUGCCAAACGAACCACCACUCGACCGCCAACAUUUCCAGACCCGUCGCCGCCGCUUCCGUGGCCGGAGUUCGCCGGAAACGGCCAUUGUUUACCGAUUUCCAGUUCAAACUUCCAGCUCGUUUUUUCUCCUUCAAUUCUCCACCAAAUCGAUCGAGUAAGGUAUGGUUUCUCAGCUAUUUUUCGUGUUCUAGCUGAUGGAUGUAUGGGUUUCGAUCGAUUUCACCUCUAGAUCACUCGAUUUUCGACUUUAAAAUCGGCUGAAACUUCGGCCGCCGUGAUCUACUGGUUUCGGUCACUUUUUGGGGUGUGUCCAAGAACAAAAGUGACUCCAAAUGGGGUGUUUUACCUAGGAUAGGAGUUUGGAGUCUUGGUUCCGAGAUUUUUCGACCACCCGAAAUCGCGUAGGACACCCAAAUCUGCCCGCGCGUGAGGCAGCACGUGGGCGAGGGUGGUGAAGUAAUUCUGUGCAGUUUUGUGAUCCUCGUGUCAUCACGAGCGCGUAGGAUUUCUCGGAUCUCGAUUCGGAGUCCGUUUGAGCCCCGAACGGAUUUUCCAUAUCGCGCGAUCCUUGGGUUCAGUGUCGUCUAAUCGUUGGAUCGCAAUGAAUUUUGGAUAUGUCUGUCUACAUGAUUCCAGGAUCGUGUCGGAUUUGACGGAUUGCGAAUCGGAGUCCCGGAUACUCCGAAAUCGCGAACCCUGGGGCUAGGGUUUGGAUUUUAAGCGAUAACGCGAUUUUGGCUAAUCAGACCGUCCGUUUCGGACCGAAUUCGCGGAACAUGGUUCCUUCUCUAUGAGGAACCUUCAGAGAGGCCCAGAUUGGCCAUCGGAGACCGUGGACCCACGGGGUCCCGGAUCGGCCGGUCUGGUGGUUUAUCGCUUAGUUAAGCAUCGGGUCUUCCAAAACUGAUCUAAGUGUCUGAAAGGCUAAGGUGGGCAUAGGAGUAACUUGAAACGAGUGCACGUAAUUCUAGGAGCCGCGGGCAGGGUGUUUAAUUUAAAUUCUUUUUAUUUAGCAAUUUAUUAAUUUAUUAUUCAUGGAUAAUCAUGCAUCAGAGGUCCAGUCGACCCGCAGGAGGGACCUUCGAAGGGUCCAGUUAGCUCGGACCAUCAGUGAGUGGACUUUUCUUUCCUAAAAGAUUUUAUAAUUAUAUUUUAUAUUUGAUCUUGAAUAAGUGUUAUUACGUAGUUUCGAAGCAUGAUUUGCAUUGUGAAAUAUCUUUAUUUUUAUAAUAUUGGUUGAGCAGUAAACUUGAGACUUUUGAUACAAAGAUGGUAAUUUAGUUCAGAUUUAUCAGAUUUCAGAGAGUUAUCGGAUUUUCUAGUUAGACCACCAUGUACCCAUUUAUCUUUGGUGAUUACCCACAGUCGGACCGAUGUCUACGGACAUCCAGUCUGAUUUCAGUUACGUCAGUGCACUUGACUUCGCCUCAUGAGUUUCGGGGACGCUCGGACCGUGAGUGCCAGGAUUUGCGGCUCGGCAGACUUGGUGGCCCGAGACCUGCCAGGAUUGCGGCUCAGCUGACUCUGUGUCCCCGAGACCUGCCAAGAUUGCAGAUCAGGCUGACUGCGGUCCCCUGUAUCUUGCCAGAGCGGCUCGAGUUGACUUGGUGUCAUCGAGACCUGCCGGUGGAUCAGGCUGACCAUAGUCCCCUGUAUCUGCCAGUUUGCGGCUCGGGUAGCCUCCAUGACGCCGGAGACCUGCCAGGGGAAUUGACGGAUAUUACAGGGGUACAAUUAGGUGGUAGUUUCAAAGAAUUUGAGCUCUUUUAUCCAGUUAUGAUUUCCAGUGAUUUUAUACCAGUUUCUUUGAUAUUCAUGCAUUAUUAUCUUUAUAUAUUUGAUCAGUUAGGCAAGUAUAUUCAUCAGCAUAUUUAUUCAUGUUUAUUGAAUUCCUUAUAUUGAAAUAUAGUUAAAUUAUCGAUUUAUAUCCCUAGUAUUUCAAAACGGGGGUUAUUAUGUUCUAACUUGUUUUUAAGAACAUUAUUUUUGUCCACUCACAACUUUGAACUUGUUUUUCGCCCCCAGGCCGUAGAAGUACGAAGGAAAUCACUCGGGCCAUCUUCCCAGCUUUCGCCCCACCACCAAAGUGUAGGAUCUCGUUGUACAUUCUUAUAGUUUUGUAAAUUUGUAGAAAAGCUCUCAUAUCUAGUUGAAACUGAGAUUAUUGAAGUUGAGAUCUGUUGUUUGAGAUAUUCUGGCAGUUGGUUUGGUUUUUGAGCUUGUUUGACAGGUGCAAGACUUUGGGUUUGGCCAAAAUACAGGGGAGACUCUGCCGAAUUUUCGGCAGAAGUCGAAGGGGAAUUUUAAAAAGAUUUUGAAACGAGAAGGGUAAAAAGGUCUUUUGUGCCCGACAUUCGCCAGGUGUCGGACACGCACAGGAUUCGGCUCGGAUUCCAAAGGGGAAAUUGGGUCAGGUCCUGUCAACUUUUUUUUAAAAAAAAAAAAGGGAAAAGCGCAUACAGCCGCGCGGCUGUACUUUCUCAAAAAAAAAUUCAAAAAAAUAGUACAGCCGAGCGGCUAUACUAUUAUAUAUUUGUAAAGACCAGCCCAUGCGCUCGGCCCACGUGUCAACGAGGUCCAGCCGCCCGGCUAUGCUGUUUUAAAUGCCAAAACGAGUAUAGCCGCGCGGCUAUACUUUCUUUUUGGAAAACAAUUAGGGAAAACUUGGGCUAUACCCUUUUUUUCUUUUUCUUUUUCUUUUUCUUUUUUUCAAUAAACAAAAAAGUAUAUAUUGUUUUUAUUUGGUAAUACGUGUAUAAUGCGUGGAUUUUGUGUGUCUUAGUUAAAUUUUUGUAAAAACAUACGUGUAUUAAACGUGAGAAAUACUGCGUACGUGUAUAAUACGGGUAAUAACUUUGGAAAAGUAAAGAAUCAAAAAGGGACGAUACAUACUCGAGUAAUGGCAUAAUAGUAACGGAUAGGGCUCUUGGGCUAUGGAGAAAUUGAAUUAAGACACCCAAACGAAUUCACAAAAGACUUAAUAAGUAGAAAUUAAUUACUUUGUGUUCUUUUUCUUCGAUCUUUUUACAUUAAAUAAUAAUUAAAAUAUAAUUACUAAGCAAAGUGAUUAAAAAAGGCUAAGAGUAACCAUAGUAAAUUAAAGAAGUAGGCCAAAAAACAAAAGUGAAGAAACGAAUUUUAUAUUUUUAAAUUAUUAAAAAUAACAAAUAUAAAUUAGUAUAGCCGUGCGGCUGUACUAUGCAUAUCUUUAAAAAAAGGACGCCCCCUAGCUGCCACGUGUCAGAAGACUGAAGCCUUUGUUUUUAUUUUUUAUUUUUUAAAAAAAUGGAAAAGCGAGUACAGCCGCGCGGCUGUCAGAAAAUAGUACAGCCGCGCGGCUGCACUAUUAUAUAUUUGUAAAUACCAGCCCAUGUGCUCAGCCCACGUGUCAACGAGGUCCAACCGCCCGGCUGUGCUGUUUUUAAUGCCAAAACGAGUAUAGCCGCGCGGCUAUACUUUCUUUUUGAAAAACAAUUUGGGAAAACUUGGGCUAUACCCUUUUUUUCUUUUUCUUUUUCUUUUUUUCAAUAAACAAAAAAUUAUAUAUUGUUUUUAUUCGGUAAUACGGGUAUAAUGCGUGAAUUUUGUGUAUCUUAGUGAAAUUUUUGUAAAAACAUACGUGUAUUAAACAUGAGAUAUACGUGCGUAUGUGUAUAAUACGGGUAAUAACUUUGGAAAAGUAAAGAAUCAAAAAGGGACGAUACAUACUCGAGUAAUGGCAUAAUAGUAAUCAUAGUAAAUUAAAGAAGUAGGCCAAAAAACAAAAUUGAAGAAACAAAUUUUUUAUUUUUAAAUUAUUAAAAAUAACAAAUAAAAAUGAGUAUAGCCGUGCGGCUGUACUAUGCAUAUCUUUAAAGAAAAGGACGCCCCCUAGCUGCCACGUGUCAGAAGACUGAAGCCUUUUUUUAUUUUUGCGAGGACAGCCGCACGGCUGUACGUUCGUUAAAAAAAAUUUCAGAAAAUAGUACAGCCGCGCGGCUGCACUAUUAUAUAUUUGUAAAGACAAGCCCAUGUGCUCAGCCCACAUGUCAACGAGGUCCAGCCGCACGGCUAUGCUGUUUUUAAUGCCAAAACGAGUAUAGCCGCGCGGCUAUACGUUCUUUUUCGAAAACAAUUAGCGAAAACUUGGGCUAUACCCUUUUUUUCUUUUUCUUUUUCUUUUUUUCAAUAAACAAAAAAGUAUAUAUUGUUUUUAUUCGGUAAUACGUGUAUAAUGCGUGAAUUUUGUGUGUCUUAGUGAAAUUUUUGUAAAAACAUACGUGCAUUAAACGUGAGAAAUACUGCGUACGUGUAUAAUACGGGUAAUAACUUUGAAAAAGUAAAGAAUCAAAAAAGGACGAUACAUACUCGAGUAAUGGCAUAAUAGUAACGGAUAGGGCUCUUGGGCUAUGGAGAAAUUGAAUUAAGACACCCAAACGAAUUUACAAAAGACUUAAUAAGUAGAAAUUAAUUACUUUGUGUUCUUUUUCUUCGAUCUUUUUACAUUAAAUAAUAAUUAAAAUAUAAUUACUAAGCGAAGUGAUUAAAAAAAGGCUAAGAGUAACCAUAGUAAAUUAAAGAAGUAGGCCAAAAAAAAAAAGUGAAGAAACGAAUUUUAUAUUUUUAAAUUAUUAAAAAUAACAAAUAAAAAUGAGUAUAGCCGUGCGGCUGUACUAUGCAUAUCUUUUAAAAAAAAGGACGCCCCCUAGCUGCCACGUGUCAGAAGACUGAAGCCUUUUUUUAUUUUUGCGAGUACAGCCGCGUGGCUGUACGUUCGUUAAAAAAAAUUUCAGAAAAUAGUACAGCCGCGCGGCUGCACUAUUAUAUAUUUGUAAAUACCAGCCCAUGUGCUCAGCCCACAUGUCAACGAGGUCCAGCCGCACGGCUAUGCUGUUUUUAAUGCCAAAACGAGUAUAGCCGCGCGGCUAUACUUUCUUUUUGGAAAACAAUUAGCGAAAACUUGGGCUAUACCCUUUUUUUCUUUUUCUUUUUCUUUUUCUUUUUUUCAAUAAACAAAAAAGUAUAUAUUGUUUUUAUUCGGUAAUACGUGUAUAAUGCGUGAAUUUUGUGUGUCUUAGUGAAAUUUUUGUAAAAACAUACGUGUAUUAAACGUGAGAAAUACUGCGUACGUGUAUAAUACGGGUAAUAACUUUGGAAAAGUAAAGAAUCAAAAAAGGACGAUACAUACUCGAGUAAUGGCAUAAUAGUAACGGAUAGUACAGUGUCGUCUAGCCGUUGGAUCGCACCCCAUUUCGGAUAUGUUGUUCUACAUUGUUUCAGGAUAGCGUAGGAUUCGACGGAUUGCAAAUACCUUCCGUGUGGCUGUACUAUGAAUAUCUUUAAAAAAAAAGGACGCCCCUGGCUGCCACGUGUCAGAAGAGUGAAGCCCUUUUUUUAUUUUUUUUAUUUUAAAAAAAAGGAAAAGCGAGUACAUCCGCGCGGCUGUACUUUCUUUAAAAAAAAUUUCAAAAAAUAGUACAGCCGCGCGGCUAUACUAUUAUAUAUUUGUAAAGACCAGCCCAUGUGCUCAGCCCACGUGUCAACGAGGUCCAGCCGCACGGCUAUGCUGUUUUUAAUGCCAAAACCAGUAUAGCCGCGCGGCUAUACUUUCUUUUUGAAAAACAAUUAGGGAAAACUUGGGCUAUACCCUUUUUUUCUUUUUGUUUUUCUUUUUUUCAAUAAACAAAAAAGUAUAUAUUGUUUUUAUUCGGUAAGACGUGUAUAAUGCGUUAAUUUUGUUUGUCUUUGUGAAAUUUUUGUGAAAACAUACGUGUAUUAAACGUGAGAAAUACGUGCGUACGUGUAUAAUACGGGUAAUAACUUUGGAAAAGUAAAGAAUCAAAAAGGGACAAUACAUACUCGAGUAAUGGCAUAAUAGUAACGGAUAGGGCUCUUGGGCUAUGGAGAAAUUGAAUUAAGACACCCAAACGAUUUCACAAAAGACUUAAUAAGUAGAAAUUAAUUACUUUGUGUUCUUUUUCUUCGAUCUUUUUCAAUAAACAAAAAUUUAUAUAUUGUUUUUAUUCGGUAAUACGGGUAUAAUGCGUGAAUUUUGUGUAUCUUAGUGAAUUUUUUGUAAAAACAUACGUGUAUUAAACAUAAGAAAUACGUGCGUAUGUGUAUAAUACGAGUAAUAACUUUGGAAAAGUAAAGAAUCAAAAUGGGACGAUACAUACUCGAGUAAUAGCAUAAUAGUAACCAUAGUAAAUUAAAGAAGUAGGCCAAAAAACAAAAGUGAAGAAACAAAUUUUAUAUUUUUAAAUUAUUAAAAAUAACAAAUAUAAAUGAGUAUAGCCGUGCGGCUGUACUAUGCAUAUCUUUAAAAAAAAAGGACGCCCCCUGGCUGCCACGUGUCAGAAGACUGAAGCCUUUUUUUUAUUUUUUUAUUUUUUUAAAAAAAAGGAAAAGCGAGUACAGCCGCGCGGCUGUACUUUCUUUGAAAAAAAUUCAAAAACUAUUACAGCCGCGCGGCUAUACUAUUAUAUAUUUGUAAAUACCGUCCCAUGUGCUCAGCCCACGUGUCAAAGAGGUCCAGCCGCCCGGCUAUUGACAGGACCCGACCCAAUUUCCGCUUUGGAAUCCGAGCCGAAUCCUGUGCGUGUCCGACACCUGGCGAAUGCCGGGCACGAAUGACCUUUUUACCCUUUUCUUAAACAAAUUUCUUAAAAUUUACCUUCGACUUCUGCCGAAAAUUCGGCAGAGUCUACCCUGUAUUUUGACCAAACACAAAGUCUUCCACCUGACAAACAGUCUCAAAAAUCCUACCAGUUCCUUAUGUUCAACAAGAUCUCAGAGCAUUUCUAUACAAAUUUACAGGAUUUACAAAAGAGUUACAAUGAACUCCUACACUUUGGUGGUGGGUCGGAAGCUAGGAUGAUGGCCCGAGUGGUUUCCUUCGUUCUUCUACGGCCUGGGGGGCGCAAAACAUUAAAAGUGUGAGUGGACCAAAAUAGAGUUCUCAAACAGUGUAUGAACAUAAUAACCCCCACUGUAAAAAUAAAACUGAAUAUGUAAACUGCACUGAAUUAGGGUAAAUUCAAGCAUCCUCAUAAAUAUAUACAUAUAUAUAUAUAUAUAUCCCGAUGUAGGAUAUGCUCAAUACCAAGGAAAUAUUGAGUAAAAAUCACUGAAAUUUCUUUAAAACUACCACCUAGGUGUACCCCUGUAAAACUGUCAAAUCCCCUGGCAGGUCUCGGCGACACAUAGUGUAUCCGAGCCGCAAACUGGCAGGAUUCAGGAGACCGUAGUCAGGCUGAUCCGCAAUCCUGGCAGGAUUCAGGAGACCGUAGUCAGCCUGAUCCGCAAUCCUGGCACUCACGGUCCGGGCGUCCCCAAAACUCGUGAGGCAAAUGUCAAGUGCACUGACGUAACUGAAAGUAAACUGGAUGUCUGUAGACAUCAUCAUAUCCGAAGGCAACAUAAACCGAAGGCAACCUGGAUGUCCGUAGACAUUGUCUUAUUUGACGGCAACCUGUUCUGUAGAUGGGUACCCACAGUGGUUUAAGAAAAUAUAAACUGCUGAGAAAAUGUAAUAUAAUAAUAUAAUAAUGUUUCUGAAAGAUCUGAGGAAUAACUGAAUCAAUCUAUAACUGUGCUGCCCUUUUUAUCUGAUAGAAAACUCAAACUCUGCUUUCGAUAAUUCAUGGUGGACUAAAAAUAGUUAUCUGACAAUUCUCUGAAAUCUGAUAAUUUAACUGUAGUCGUAAUGCUUAUAUAAAGCUCAAGGUCUGCUGCUACUAUAACCUCAAUAAUAUAUGUAACUCAAAGUAUUUGACCGUAUAAAACCUGCUCAAGACUUGCAAGAAUACUUAUUCAAGAUCAAUAAAUUAAAUGCAUUUGCAUAAAAUCAUUUAUAAAAGAAAGGUCCACUCACUGCUGGUCCGAGCUAGCUAGACCUCUUAAAGGUCCCUCCUGUGGAUUAGCUGGACUCCUGGUGCCUGAUUAUCCAUGAAUAAUAAAUUAAUAAACUGCUGGAUAAAUAGAAUUUUAAAUCAAAUACCCUGCCCCCGGCUCUUAGAAAUAUAUACAUUUCGUUCUAGAUCACUCCUAUGCCCACCUUAGCUCUUUUUAGAUACUUGGACCACUUUUGGAAGGUCCGACGCUCAGUUAAGCGAUAAACUGUCAGAUCGGCCGACCCGGGACCCGUGGGGUCCACGAUCUCCGAUGGCCAAUCUGAGCUUCCCGGAAGGUUUCUCAUAGGGCGGGAACCAAGUUCUGCGAAUUUGGUCCGAAUCGGACGGUCGGAUCGGCCAAAAUCGCGUUAUCGCUUAAAACUCUAACCCUAACCCUAGCGUUCGCGAUUUCGGAGUAUCCGGUACUCCGAUUCGCAAUCCGUUGAAUCCUACAGGACCCUGAAACAAUAUAGAACAACAUAUCCGAAAUGUGAUGCGAUCCAACGGCUAGACGACACUGCACCCGGGAAUCGCAUAUUAUGGAAAAUCCGUUCGGGGCUCGAACGGACUCCGAAUUGAGAUCCGCGAAAUCCUACGCGCUCGUGACAAUACGAGGAUCACAAAAAUACCCAGAUUUACUACUGUACCCUCACCCACACGCCGCCACACGCGCUGGCAGCGGCGGGUGUCCAAAACGAUAACGGUUCGCCGGAAAAACUCCAAACUACGACUCCAAACUCCUAUCCUAGGUAAAACACCACAUUUUGAGUCACUUUUGUUNNNNNNNNNNNNNNNNNNNNNNNNNNNNNNNNNNNNNNNNNNNNNNNNNNNNNNNNNNNNNNNNNNNNNNNNNNNNNNNNNNNNNNNNNNNNNNNNNNNNUUUCUGCCAAACUUCAAGUCGAAAAUCGAAUGAUCUAGGGAUUGAAUUGAUCUAAACCCAGCCAACUAGCAGAUAGAGCACAAGAAAUAGAUGAAAAUCCAUACCUCACUCGACUUAUUUGGUGGAGAAUUGAAGGAGAAAAUCGAGCUGAAAGUUUGAACUGGAAAUCCGGCGAAAAUGGAUUUUUCCGACCAGCUCCGGCCACGGCAACUCCGACGAAGGGUCAAGAAACGUCGGUGGUCGAAUGGUGGUUCGUUUGGUACCAACGGCAGAGAUCGGUUCCAAGUAUGGUGGCCGUGGCGUCAAGGAGAAGGGGGAAAGGUCGGGCGGUUGGAGGAAGAAUCGGGAGGAGAGAGGGAGAAGAGAAAAAAAAUAAUGACGGGAUAGCAAGAGAAAAAUCUGGUUUUUUAAAAAUACUUCGAAAUAUUUACGAUUCUGCCACUGAGACUCUUUUAACCAUAAAUCCUUCGUUACAACUCCGAUUCGGGUCUACUCCAUGUCUACGAACUCGUUUCGCUGUACUCUACGCAACUGCAUAAGCGGAAUUGCCAAAUUAUUUUCCGAUCAAAAAGUCAAACUUUCCCCUUUUAGAAUAUGCGAGGGCAAAAUCGUCUUUUGGCUAGAAUAAAGAAAUCUCAAUUUUUAGAUAUUUUGGUUUGGGUUCUUACAGCUAUGCUGUUUUUAAUGCCAAAACAAUUAUAGCCGCGCGGCUAUACUUUCUUUUUGAAAAACAAUUAGGGAAAACUUGGGCUAUACCCUUUUUUUCUUGUUCUUUUUCUUUUUUUCAAUAAACAAAAAAGUAUAUAUUGUUUUUAUUUGGUAAUACGUGUAUAAUGCGUGAAUUUUGUGUGUCUUAGUUAAAUCUUAGUAAAAACAUACGUGUAUUAAACGUGAGAAAUACGUGCGUACGUGUAUAAUAGGGGUAAUAACUUUGGAAAAGUAAAGAAUCAAAAAGGGACGAUACAUACUCGAGUAAUGUCAUAAUAGUAACGGAUAGGGCUCUUGAGCUAUGGAGAAAUUGAAUUAAGACACGCAAACGAUUUCACAAAAGACUUAAUAAGUAGAAAUUAAUUACUUUGUGUUCUUUUUCUUCGAUCUUUUUACAUUAAAUAAUAAUUAAAAUAUAAUUACUAAGCAAAGUGAUUAAAAAAGGCUAAGAGUAACCAUAGUAAAUUAAAGAAGUAGGCCAAAAAACAAAAGUGAAGAAACAAAUUUUAUAUUUUUAAAUUAUUAAAAAUAACAAAUAUAAAUGAGUAUAGCCGUGCGGCUGUACUAUGCAUAUCUUUAAAAAAAGGACGCCCCCUAGCUGCCACGUGUCAGAAGACUGAAGCCUUAGUUUUUAUUUUUUAUUUUUCAAAAAAAGGAAAAGCGCGUACAGCCGCGCGGCUGUACUUUCUUUAAAAAAAAUUUCAAAAAAAUUGUACAGCCGCGCGGCUAUACUAUUAUAUAUUUGUCAAGACCAGCCCAUGUGCUCAGCCCACGUGUCAACGAGGUCCAGCCGGCCGGCUGUGCUGUUUUUAAUGCCAAAACGAGUAUGGCCGCGCGGCUAUACUUUCUUUUUGAAAAACAAUUUGGGAAAACUUGGGCUAUACCCUUUUUUUCUUUUUCUUUUUCUCUUUUUCAAUAAACAAAAAAUUAUAUAUUGUUUUUAUUCGGUAAUACGGGUAUAAUGCGUGAAUUUUGUGUAUCUUAGUGAAAUUUUGGAAAACUUACGUGUAUAAACAUGAGAAAUACAUGCGUAUGUGUAUAAUACGGGUAAUAACUUUGGAAAAGUAAAGAAUCAAAAAGGGACGAUGCAUACUCGAGUAAUGGCAUAACAGUAACCAUAGUAAAUUAAAGAAGUAGUCCAAAAAACAAAAGUGAAGAAACAAAUUUUAUAUUUUUAAAUUAUUAAAAAUAACAAAUAUAAAUGAGUAUAGCCGUGCGGCUGUACUAUGCAUAUCUUUAAAAAAAAGGACGCCCCCUAGCUGCCACGUGUCAGAAGACUGAAGCCUUUGUUUUUUAUUUUUUAUUUUUUUAAAAAAAGGAAAAGCGAGUACAGCCGCACGGCUGUACUUUCUUUAAAAAAAAUUACAAAAAAAUUGUACAGCCGCGCGGCUAUACUAUUAUAUAUUUGUCAAGACCAGCCCAUGUGCUCAGCCCACGUGUCGACGAGGUCCAGCCGCCCGGCUGUGCUGUUUUUAAUGCCAAAACGAGUAUAGCCGGGCGGCUAUAGUUUCUUUUUGAAAAACAAUUUGGGAAAACUUGGGCUAUACCCUUUUUUUCUUUUUCUUUUUCUUUUUUUCAAUAAACAAAAAAUUAUAUAUUGUUUUUAUUCGGUAAUACGGGUAUAAUGCGUGAAUUUUGUGUGUCUUAGUGAAAUUUUUGUAAAAACAUACGUGUAUUAAACUUGAGAAAUACGUGCGUAUGUGUAUAAUAUGGGUAAUAACUUUGGAAAAGUAAAGAAUCAAAAAGGGACGAUACAUACUCGAGUAAUGGCAUAAUAGUAACGGAUAGGGCUCUUGGGCUAUGGAGAAAUUGAAUUAAGACACCCAAACGAAUUCACAAAAGACUUAAUAAGUAGAAAUUAAUUACUUUGUGUUCUUUUUCUUCGAUCUUUUUACAUUAAAUAAUAAUUAAAAUAUAACUACUAAGCAAAGUGAUUAAAAAAAGGCUAAGAGUAACCAUAGUAAAUUAAAGAAGUAGGCCAAAAAACAAAAGUGAAGAAACAAAUUUUAUAUUUUUAAAUUAUUAAAAAUAACACAUAUAAAUGAGUAUAGCCGUGCGGCUGUACUAUGCAUAUCUUUAAAAAAAGGACGCCCCCUAGCAGCCACGUGUCAGAAGACUGAAGCCUUUGUAUUUAUUUAUUUUUUUUUUUUUAAAAAAAGGAAAAGCGAGUACAGCCGCGCGGCUAUACUGUUAUAUAUUUGUAAAUACCUAAAGAAAUCUCAAUUUUUAGAUAUUUUGGUUUGGGUUCUUACAGCUAUGCUGUUUUUAAUGCCAAAACAAUUAUAGCCGCGCGGCUAUACUUUCUUUUUGAAAAACAAUUAGGGAAAACUUGGGCUAUACCCUUUUUUUCUUGUUCUUUUUCUUUUUUUCAAUAAACAAAAAAGUAUAUAUUGUUUUUAUUUGGUAAUACGUGUAUAAUGCGUGAAUUUUGUGUGUCUUAGUUAAAUCUUAGUAAAAACAUACGUGUAUUAAACGUGAGAAAUACGUGCGUACGUGUAUAAUAGGGGUAAUAACUUUGGAAAAGUAAAGAAUCAAAAAGGGACGAUACAUACUCGAGUAAUGUCAUAAUAGUAACGGAUAGGGCUCUUGAGCUAUGGAGAAAUUGAAUUAAGACACGCAAACGAUUUCACAAAAGACUUAAUAAGUAGAAAUUAAUUACUUUGUGUUCUUUUUCUUCGAUCUUUUUACAUUAAAUAAUAAUUAAAAUAUAAUUACUAAGCAAAGUGAUUAAAAAAGGCUAAGAGUAACCAUAGUAAAUUAAAGAAGUAGGCCAAAAAACAAAAGUGAAGAAACAAAUUUUAUAUUUUUAAAUUAUUAAAAAUAACAAAUAUAAAUGAGUAUAGCCGUGCGGCUGUACUAUGCAUAUCUUUAAAAAAAGGACGCCCCCUAGCUGCCACGUGUCAGAAGACUGAAGCCUUAGUUUUUAUUUUUUAUUUUUCAAAAAAAGGAAAAGCGCGUACAGCCGCGCGGCUGUACUUUCUUUAAAAAAAAUUUCAAAAAAAUUGUACAGCCGCGCGGCUAUACUAUUAUAUAUUUGUCAAGACCAGCCCAUGUGCUCAGCCCACGUGUCAACGAGGUCCAGCCGGCCGGCUGUGCUGUUUUUAAUGCCAAAACGAGUAUGGCCGCGCGGCUAUACUUUCUUUUUGAAAAACAAUUUGGGAAAACUUGGGCUAUACCCUUUUUUUCUUUUUCUUUUUCUCUUUUUCAAUAAACAAAAAAUUAUAUAUUGUUUUUAUUCGGUAAUACGGGUAUAAUGCGUGAAUUUUGUGUAUCUUAGUGAAAUUUUUGUAAAAACAUACGUGUAUUAAACAUGAGAAAUACGUGCGUAUGUGUAUAAUACGGGUAAUAACUUUGGAAAAGUAAAGAAUCAAAAUGGGACGAUACAUACUCGAGUAAUGGCAUAAUAGUAACCAUAGUAAAUUAAAGAAGUAGGCCAAAAAACAAAAGUGAAGAAACAAAUUUUAUAUUUUUAAAUUAUUAAAAAUACCAAAUAUAAAUGAGUAUAGCCGUGCGGCGGUACUAUGAAUAUCUUUAAAAAAAAGGACGCCCCUGGCUGCCACGUGUCAGAAGAGUGAAGCCCUUUUUUUAUUUUUUUAUUUUAAAAAAAGGGAAAAGCGAGUACAGCCGCGCGUCUGUACUUUCUUUAAAAAAAAUUUCAAAAAAUAGUACCGCCGCGCGGCUAUACUAUUAUAUAUUUGUAAAGACCAGCCCAUGUGCUCAGCCCACGUGUCAACGAGGUCCAGCCGCACGGCUAUGCUGUUUUUAAUGCCAAAACCAGUAUAGCCGCGCGGCUAUACUUUCUUUUUGAAAAACAAUUAGGGAAAACUUGGGCUAUACCCUUUUUUUCUUUUUCUUUUUCUUUUUCUUUUUCUUUUUUUCAAUAAACAAAAAAGUAUAUAUUGUUUUUAUUCGGUAAGACGUGUAUAAUGCGUUAAUUUUGUUUGUCUUUGUGAAAUUUUUGUGAAAACAUACGUGUAUUAAACGUGAGAAAUACGUGCGUACGUGUAUAAUACGGGUAAUAACUUUGAAAAAGUAAAGAAUCAAAAAGGGACAAUACAUACUCGAGUAAUGGCAUAAUAGUAACGGAUAGGGCUCUUGGGCUAUGGAGAAAUUGAAUUAAGACACCCAAACGAUUUCACAAAAGACUUAAUAAGUAGAAAUUAAUUACUUUGUGUUCUUUUUCUUCGAUCUUUUUCAAUAAACAAAAAAUUAUAUAUUGUUUUUAUUCGGUAAUACGGGUAUAAUGCGUGAAUUUUGUGUAUCUUAGUGAAAUUUUUGUAAAAACAUACGUGUAUUAAACAUGAGAAAUACGUGCGUAUGUGUAUAAUACGGGUAAUAACUUUGGAAAAGUAAAGAAUCAAAAUGGGACGAUACAUACUCGAGUAAUGGCAUAAUAGUAACCAUAGUAAAUUAAAGAAGUAGGCCAAAAAACAAAAGUGAAGAAACAAAUUUUAUAUUUUUAAAUUAUUGAAAAUAACAAAUAAAAAUGAGUAUAGCCGUGCGGCUGUACUAUGCAUAUCUUUAAAAAAAAGGGACGCCCCCUAGCUGCCACGUGUCAGAAGACUGAAGCCUUUCUUUUAUUUUUUAGUUUUAAAAAAAAGGAAACGCGAGUACAGCCGCGCGGCUGUACUUUCUUUAAAAAAAUUUCAAAACAAUGGUACAGCCGCCCGGCUAUACUAUUAUAUAUUUGUCAAGACCAGCCCAUGUGCUCAGCCCACGUGUCAACGAGGUCCAGCCGCCCGGCUAUGCUGUUUUUAAUGCCAAAACGAGUAUAGCCGCGCGGCUAUACUUUCUUUUUGAAAAACAAUUUGGGAAAACUUGGGCUAUACCCUUUUUUUCUUUUUCUUUUUCUUUUUUUCAAUAAACAAAAAAGUAUAUAUUGUUUUUAUUCGGUAAGACGUGUAUAAUACGUGAAUUUUGUUUGUCUUAGUGAAAUUUUUGUAAAAACAUACGUGUAUUAAACGUGAGAAAUACGUGCAUACGUGUAUAAUACGGGUAAUAACUUUGGAAAAGUAAAGAAUAAAAAAGGGACAAUACAUACUUGAGUAAUGGCAUAAUAGUAACGGAUAGGGCUCUUGGGCUAUGGAGAAAUUGAAUUAAGACACCCAAACGAUUUCACAAAAGACUUAAUAAGUAGAAAUUAAUUACUUUGUGUUUGUUAUAAAAAUAACCUGGAAUAUGUAUGAAUAUUGAGCUGCACGUAAAGUAGAAGAGACACAGCAUUUAACGAGGUUCGGCUAUGCCUACGUCCUCGGAGAGCAGCAGCAGUAACUUUUUCACUAUAUAAAAUAAUAGGGCUACAAAUUUAGAGUUUACAAUAUGUGAGGCUCACUGAAUUUUCUCUCUCUUUCUUCUUCUCUCUUUUCUUUCUUCUUUUUCUCUUCUCCCCUUUCUUUCUUUUCUCCGUUGGUCACACUCCCCUUUACAAUCGGUAUGCGUAUUUAUAGGCUAAUGUUUAGGCAAAAUACAGGGAAGGGAAGGUUCCUGGAAGAUGCAAGGAAACUUCCUGAAUUGAUAAAUACAGGGAAGGAAAGUUCCUGGAAGAUGCAAGAAAACUUCCUGAAUUGAUAAAUACAGGGAAUGGAAAGUUCCUAGAAGAUGCAAGGAAACUUCCUCUGUGGGCUCCACCUUCAAACUUUUACAACACUCCCCCUUGGAGACCACAAAUGAUAUGGAAUAUGCCUCGUUAAAAACCUUGCCAGUAAAAACCCAGUGGGACAAAAACAGGUCGAAGGGAAAAAGAGUACAUAAUCACGUGUAACACAAAAUUCUGUGUAUAUUGACGCGCGUGCGACACUGCCUCGUUAAAACCUUGCCAGGAAAAACCCAGUGGGAUAAAAACCUGGACGAAGGAAAAAGAGUACAGUGUGUAAGGGUCUGUAUUGACAGCACGCUCCCCCUGAUGCUUGGCAAAAUAUCUUUAAGCCAUACUGUUGAUCAUCUGUCUGAAUAUCAUAGUUGACACUGCUGCUGUGAGUCAAUAGUGUAUGAAGGUCUUUAUUAAUACCAUGCUCCCCCUGAUGAAUAUCUCCCCCUGAAAACUUCAUGACUAGCUUUUUCCAGUAAGCGACCAUAGAGAUUUCCUGAGUCCGCAUAUCUUAGAACACUUGGGCUAUUUAUAAGUUCACUAAAAAAUAUGCCCGUAUAUGGUGUUAUGCUUAGAUAGCAUCAAAUAUACCUCACAUCAUCCCAAAAUGAUGGUGAUGGAGUUGAGCCCUAUUUGGAAAAUAUGAUGUCCGGUCCAAUAUACUUCCGGAAAAUCAUUAAAGUGUCCAACGGAUAAUCCUCAUAAAAAUACUUCAAUACUUUCUUAGUAUAAGCAAGAAUCUCGUUGGCAUAAUGCUCGAUCCUUAAGUCGAGACAAAUAUUUCGUGAAUUCUGCAGAAGCUUUAAUGUGUUGCAAUCACAUUAUAAUCAAUGUACUCACUGAGGUAAUUUAUGCAUAUUAAUAUUGAGUACAAAUUUUGUGCUUCAAGCACAUGUCCUUUAGGUACUUGCUUUAUGCAAUGUCAAUCCUCUCAACGGAUUUUGUUUAAAAGGGAUUAAACUUUAUGACACAUUAUAUAGCUUUAACCCAGCUAUUUAUACAUCUUUAGGGAAUCGCUUCUGGCGAUAUGCUCCGUGCAUUUAAUAACCCUUAAAGAUAAUAUGUUGGUCUCCGUAAUUGUGUAAUAAGGGGGGGCACAAUUGAAUCUGUAAAUAUGGAGAAAACCCAACAUUCCUUGUUUCUGCCAGAAACAGUGUGUCAUAUAAAGUAGAUAUAUUUCCUUUUAUUCCGAACACCCAAGUAUAACUUUCAGUAUUAACAAAUUUUGGGGUUCGUAUUGUGGGUUUGUUCUUUCACAUUCAUUCUCAUUUAUAAUGGAAUUACCUCGUUCCAUUUUGGCCAAUGAUAUUGUCGACAUUUAAUAAUUGAACGUGGUUCCAAUCAACACAGCCCAUUGAUGAUUUGAGUAGCUACUCCAAAACCAAAAAUUGUCAUUUAUCAAUUCAUGAUCUCACAAUUCUCAUGUGCAUGCGCAUGCAUCAAUUAUAAGCAUUCCUUUGCUUUUGGGUACCCAAGCCACUUCAUGGGGCUUUUAUUAUGUGAGAAUGUGGAUUUUAACCUCAAUUGGAGCGUUAUUUUACAUAGGGCGUGGAAAAUCUCCAUUUAGGGAGUUGGAACAUUUAGAACCCAUAUAUCUGUCAUGCUGCAAGCAUGCCACAGAUUAAUACAUACAUGUCAAUUAAUUUCUGGGACCUUAACCCAUAUUAUGGGACUUUAACCCAUAUAAUUUGCUACGCAUUAGGCGUGCAUAAUAUUAAUAUUGACAUGUCAAAGGAUUGUCCUUUCGGGACUUCAAUCCAUAUCAUUUGCUACGCAAUAGGCGUGCAUCAUAUUGAUCACUGCUAUACCCAUAUUCUGUUCUUAUGGGACUUUAAUCUGUGCAGUGUAUUAUCAAUGUAUCCAACUUGCAAUCUGUAAAAUUUGCGUUAAUAAUUCAUGGAUACAUACAAGUCAUUCUUUUGGAACGGACUUAUCUCCCCAUUUGGUUACCUUUCAAGAUAAAAUAUCAAAUAGGUAUAUAAGCAUAAAAUAACACAAGUAUUGCUUACAUCCUUAGGUGGGAGAAACUUUUCUCAAGUAUCAUUCAAGCUCAUAUCAGCCCAGUAAAUAUAAUGUAGCGCUUGAUGAUCUAGUUAUAUCCUGCAAGAGCAAAAAUCACAACUCUUUUGCCUCUGUCAAAACAAAUAACCCUCAUAGUUAGGAUUACUUCAUGGAUUCAUUCUUCAGAUGUUCAUUCUAAAGAAAUAAAAUCUCUUAUGAACAGAGAGUUAUAAAAAGAGAAAAAAUGCAAAAAUAAUGUGAUAUUGAUUGCAAGAGAAGGUAAGCAAUCAGGGAAGGAAGCUGGUGGGAGCAGACAAUAAGCUCUCAUAUCUCCUAGUCUAGAAGGACUCCCGGAGAUUAGAGCAUAAGAACGCCUUCACAGUUUCCUGAUGUAGUGGAAACGUGAUCAGGGAUAGUCUUGCUUCCUGAAUGGAUGAUCAGAGAUAGUCUUGCUUCUCAGGCAUAUUGAGUGCUCACUGAUAAGAAAAAUAAGUAGAUAUCGCAUCAUUAAGUAUGGAGUAAACUGGAUGUCUUCUGCAAAGGAAAAUUUCGUUAGUAACACAUUUAUACACAAAUACAAUGAAUAGGUAGAACUGGUAAAUUUCAAAUUAACCAUAGGAAAAUUGUGAGAUUCUCGGGAUACUUUUGAAAAAGUAGCUCCGUGAAAUCCGUAAAGAAAGAUCGGCUUUGAAAAUAAUACUUUGAAAAACGCCGAAAGUGCCGACAGGCAUUAUUAGAGGCCACGUGAAGUUUUGGACUCUGGGAAAGAAAAAGAUAAUAUGGGGAUUCGAGAAGACAUUGGGGUCCUGAAAAGUUGCCACAUUUUCGUCUAUAGAUAUUGCCUUUGCAAACUGCGUUUCAACUCAAUUUCCUUCAUUUUCCGAACCUUUAGUUUUUCUAAGACUUUCUUCGAAACCUUCUUAAAAAAAUGGCUUCCUCUUCUUCCUGCCCAAAUUAUUUCAAUUUAAAUGAUGCUCCCACAACAACCAGUAACGCCCAAGUUUGGCGUCCAUCCUUUGUAUCCAAAAAUCGUCAUCUCACAGUUAAUGAUUCUGUGAUGAUGAAUGAUGCUACUGCUGUCAUAGUAGCUAGGAAUUUCAUUACUCCAAUGGAUGAAAUGUUGUUGACAGGGAGAUCAGAGGAAGAGGCUAUUGAUGACUCAAUGGCUUUUAGCAUUCAGAGUGCUGCUUCUGUUUCUAACAUGGCUGAUCCUUUGCGUGCCAGAGCAAACGAAGUUGAGAAUUUAACAACUGAAAAUUCGUCUCUCCAAAGAAUGCUUCAUGAGUCUCAACAGGAGGUUGAGAAACUUAAAGGAGAGAAUAAUGCCUUGUUGAAACUGGUGAGUUCGUACUCUGUUGAUACACUGAGAAGGCUAGACAUGCUGCAGGUCUCCAAUGAAAGAAUUUUGGGAGACCACGAGAAGCUCAUGGCUAAGCUUAAGAGGCGCCGUCAUCUUCCUGCAGAGGCUUCCAGAACAUAAUGUAAUUUUUUUAUAGAUUUCACAGGGCCUGCACCUUCAUUGCAGGUGGAAAAAUCUAUCUGUUAUAUGUUCCUGUUAUAAUAAUUGCGCAUAUUCUUAAACUUGCACCUGUGGUUUUUACGUCUUUUCAAAAUGACGAUUUGGAACCUUGUGCCUUAUAGGUUCAAAUAACCACAUCGACUCUCCCAAAUUUCAUAUUUCAACGUAUGGUAGCCCGGAACUUAUGGCCUGGGCACAAACUCAGAAUUUAUUUGCCCUUUUCAAAUGGACAUGAAAUAUGAAUUGAGUAAAAGCCAUGAUAAUAUCGCAAUAUAGUAGUGAAGAGCAUUAACUACUAUAUACCCACAACUUCAAGUUUAGGAUCUCUCAUAUAUUUGGAUCCAUGGGCUUCCGGCCCAGAUAUAACAAAAUAUGUGGGGAGUCUCAAUUCAUUAUUUGAGGUUUAUAUUAAUAUUAUCCAUUUCGCGGUGUAUUCUUAACAACCGGAAUUCACAAAAUAUAUUUCUUCCUUGAGGUGUCGAUUAUAACAAAAUCGAACUUUAUUAAAUUCAUCAUCUUCUUAUGCCAAAGAAAUAUGUGGCAUACCACAAUUUGCAAUAAUACCUCAAGGGUUGUCCAUUUAAUUGUUGGAACUUCAGGUUCUCAACACUGUUAAAUUUGGAACUUCAGGCCAAAGCCACAUAUUCUCAUGGUAUGGAUAUUUUAUAAUUUUCUGUACAUAUUUUGGGACUUCAAGCCCUUACAUAAUUGUCCAUAUUUUGAGGAACUUCUGGCAUCUCAUUUAAUUGCUCAUCCAUGAGUUUAAGGAACUGCAGGUUUCCUUUUGUAUAUAGUGACGGUUUACCCAAAAUGGUUAAUAUUUAUGCAUACGUCACUAUUCAUGUGAAUAGUACUAUUCAUCAAGUUAUGAAUACGUAUCUAUUCAUCUGCCAGUACAGUUAUCAUCAAUGUGUACGGCACUAUGAACCAAUACGGUACUGUUACAUCAUUAAGGAACUCUAGGUCCUUAUUUACAUGUCAGGGAUCAAGGACCUUUAAGUCCAAUCACAUGUUUACAAAUACAGUACCGGUGAGACUGCCAGCUCUCAUUUUAAUAUCAUCAUCAAGGAUCUUCAAGUCCUGAUGUAAUUGUAUGAUGAGGAUCAAGGAACUUCUGGUCCUGAUCUGCAUACUGGAAAAACUCAUCAUACAGCACAAUUAAUCCAUAAAAUAAAUUGCUGAUAAAUAAAUUACUGGUAUGGACGAUAAACCCGCACCACACUUUAAAUAAAUGUAAAUGUGCGGUAAAUUAAAUUCAUAAAGUUAAGGUGCUUGUAUGGGCAUUAAUUCUGCUCCAUACAUUUAAAUAAAAGUAAAGGCGUGGACGAUAAACCCGCACCACCCUUUUAAAUAAAUGUAAAUGUGCGGUAAAUUAAAUUCAUAAAUUAAAUUGCUUGCUGUAUGGACGUUAAUCCCGCACCAUACUUUAAAUAAAAUUAAAUGUGCGGUAAAGUAAAUUGUGCUUGUAUGGGCACUAAUUCUGCUCCAUACAUUUAAAUAAAAGCAAAGGCGUGGACGAUAAACUCGCACCACCCUUUUAAAUAAAUACUGUUGUAUGGGUAAUAAACAUACACCAUACAGUAAAUAAAAUAAAUAUGCGGUAAAAUAAAUUUGCGAUAAAGUAAAGGUGCAUGUAUGGGUAAUAAACCUACACCAUACAGUAAAUAAAUGUGGGGUUAAAACCACCACCGAAUAAAAUAAGAAAAAGUUAGUAUUAGUAACGGUCUCUCACUAAUAAUAUGUUUAGUAUUACCAAGGGUCCAUUUUUGUUAGUGGUUAGUAGUAUAGAUAAUAGUGCAGCACAAAAAUUAUACCUGAGAGCUUCUCGUGCUGAUAACGUGUUAUAAAAAUAACCUGGAAUAUGUAUGAAUAUUGAGCUGCACGUAAAGUAGAAGAGACACAGCAUUUAACGAGGUUCGGCUAUGCCUACGUCCUCGGAGAGCAGCAACAGUAACUUUUUCACUAUAUAAAAUAAUAGGGCUACAAAUUUAGAGUUUACAAUAUGUGAGGCUCACUGAAUUUUCUCUCUCUUUCUUCUUCUCUCUUUUCUUUCUUCUUUUUCUCUUCUCCCCUUUCUUUCUCUUCUCCCCUUUCUUUCUUUUCUCCGUUGGUCACACUCCCCUUUACAAUUGGUAUGCCUAUUUAUAGGCUAAUGUUUAGGCAAAAUACAGGGAAGGGAAGGUUCCUGGAAGAUGCAAGGAAACUUCCUGAAUUGAUAAAUACAGGGAAGGAAAGUUCCUGGAAGAUGCAAGGAAACUUCCUGAAUUGAUAAAUACAGGGAAGGGAAAGUUCCUGGAAGAUGCAAGGAAACUUCCUCUGUGGGCUCCACCUUCAAACUUUUACAACAGUGUUCUUUUUCUUCGAUCUUUUUACAUUAAAUAAUAAUUAAAAUAUAAUUGCUAAGCAAAGUGAUUAAAAAAGGUUAAGAGUAACCAUAGUAAAUUAAAGAAGUAGGCCAAAAAACAAAAGUGAAGAAACAAAUUUUAUAUUUUUAAGUUAUUAAAACUAACAAAUAUAAAUGAGUAUAGCCGUGCGGCUGUACUAUGCAUAUCUUUAAAAAAAAGGACGCCCCCUAGCUGCCACGUGUCAGAAGACUGAAGCCUUUUUUUAUUUUUUAUUUUUUUUUAAAAAAGGAAAAGCGAGUACAGCCGCGCGGCUGUACUUUCUUUAAAAACAAUUUCAAAAAAAUAGUACAGCCGCGCGGCGAUACUAUUAUAUUUGUAAAGACCAGUCCAUGUGCUCAGCCCACGUGUCAACGAGGUCCAGCCGCCCGGCUAUGCUGUUUUUAAUGCCAAAAAGAGUAUAGCCGCGCGGCUAUACUUUCUUUUUGAAAAACAAUUAGGGAAAACUUGGGCUAUACCCUUUUUUUCUUUUUCUUUUUCUUUUUCUUUUUCUUUUUUUCAAUAAACAAAAAAGUAUAUAUUGUUUUUAUUCGGUAAGACGUGUAUAAUGCGUGAAUUUUGUGUGUCUUAGUGAAAUUUUUGUAAAAACAUACAUGUAUUAAACGUGAGAAAAUAUUUGGGGUCCCAAAACUAAAUUUCUAGGAUUUUUAUUAAAAUAUUUGAUACUAAUUUUUCACUGAAGAAAUAAUAAUUAAAACAUAAUUACUAAUGAAAGUAUUGAAUAAGGCUAAGAUAUUAUUUAAUUAAUAUAAAAAAUUUAAAAAGGAUAUUUUUGGAGUGUAGGUUUUAGAAUAUUUUAAAAUUAUAGCCGCCCGGCUAUACCCUUUGAAUGCCUAAUCUUGAAUUCUCUUUUUUAAUUACUUUGUUUAGUAGUUAUUUUUUAAUUACUAUUUACUUAGUGAAUAAUUGGUAUUUAAAUAUUUGAUUGAAUGAAAAUUUAAAAAUAAUUACCAUUUGUUAAGUGAAUUAAAAUAUUUAAUUCUUCACUAAAGAAAUAAUAAUUAAACCAUAAUUACAGAUGAAAGCAAUUAAAUAAGCCCCAAGGGUUAUUUCUUUAGUUUAAAAAUUAAUUAAUUAGGAUUAAUUUUAAAUGAUAGAGCCCAAGAGAGGUGUUCAUUCCAGAGAGAGGGCUUCAUUCCUCCAUCCGUCGUGGGUAACUUUCAGAUGAUCUUAGGCAUAGGAUUUUCUUUAGGAAGCAAUGUGAAGUAGGGAUGAAAUCUAUUGACUGCUGUGAAGAUAUCUCUUUGAAGGUGUCAUUAUGGACGUUUAUACUGAACUAAAUCUAUCAGUUACUGUUUCAUGUAGUUUCAAUUAUUAUCUUUUCCAGAGAUGGGAUUCAUUUAUCUGCUGAAGGGAGCAAAAUAGUGAAGGUACUGAGGGAAGCUGACUGGAAGCCAAGCUUACACUGGAAAUCCAUGCCAUUAGAAUUUGCAGAGGAUUCACCAUAUGAUCUUGUUGCUGCUGAUGGAAAGACAACAUUAAGUGGGACUAGUUUUGAGAGUCAAUGUUCCACCUGUGCUUGAACAGAAGAUUGAAGUAUCUAUUGUUGCAUGGAACACUACAAUAAUGAAAGAGCCAAAAAAAAAAAAAAAAAAAAAAAAAAAAAGAAGAAAAAGAGAAGAGUGGAUGUGGUGAAGGGUCCAUGAAUUUUUAUUUAUUUUAUUUAUUUUUGGAAUUGUUUCUAGUAGCCUCAUUGUUAUCUAUAAUUUAGUAAAAGACUUCAUUUGUAAACUUUGGUCUUUCUCCAUCAUUUAACACAUUGAUAAUUGUUUCUAGUAGCGGCGUGGCUAUUCUCCCAUGAAUAUAUUUGAUUAUUUAAUAAGUAUAGCCGCCUGACUAUACUUUUUAAAUAUAUUCAAAUAUUUUAAUGAUACCAGUGCUACUGGAGAAUAUCAAUUUCCAUAAUUCUAUUUUUUCUAUUUUUUUUCUUCCAAUUUUUUUUUUUUGCUAGUGAAUUCUAUUUAAUUUUUCGGGUCAAAUGUGAAGCAAUGACAUUGCAAUCCUCUAACUAACCAAAAAAUGGAUAUUAUAAUAAUUCCAAUACUUCAUAUAUAUAUAUAUAUAUAUAUAUAUAUUCUUGAACUACAGGGGUCCAAGAGAUUUGUGGUCACUAACCGUUGAAUGUAAUUUCAACGGUUCACUCACUCUUGCACUCAUUUAAAUUUUUUUUUUUGAACCAUUUGAUUAAUAUCCAACGGUGAGUGACCACAAUCUCUUGGACUCCUAUGGUCCAAGAUAGUGGCGGACCUAGACUUUUGUCCAUCUAGUGCGUAAAAAACAAUUACAUAGCUGACUCUUACAAAGUCUAAGUUUUCAUAGCAAUACGAUAUAUAUUAUAACACAUAAUCUAUUUCAAUAAUUUUUUAAUAUAUGAUUUUGGACCACAUGUUUAUUAAGUCUUGGGCUUUGAUUUUUUCAAUAUAUGAGAGGUUUUGGGCUCUGAUGAUAUCUCCACCAAAAGCUGUAACCUGUUUAAACAAAACAUUUUCAUUUUCCUUAAGAUAGUUGUUUUUGGUAAAAUGGCAGCAUGAGAUAUAAUGCACAUGGGCUGCAUAUGCAUAACUAACACAGAACAGGGUCUGCUGUUUUCUCAUGCAUCUAAGACCACAGAUCUUGUUGGUUUGAUUUCGCUGAUGCUCCCGAUGCUUCAUGUCAUAAUUUUGAAUCUAAAAGACCAACAUGUGAUUACACAUACAUUCAACAAACAUAGCCUUUUUAAAAUUUUAUUUAUCAUGUAAAUUAUAGAUAUUGUAAAACAGGGGAAAAAAAUGAAGCAAUAUGCCUGCGUUAAGGAGCAAAUUUACACUUCUAUCACUUAAUGUUCUUUCUACCAAGCUUCUAUUUUUGUGGAUGGGAAUCAAUUUCAUUGCUACUUGCAACUACAUGCUAAGUGAUCAAUCUUAAUACAAUUGUUGUUUCUGCAGACUUUGAAUAAUGGCGAUGUCUGGGCUCUUGCUGUUGAACAUGCCAUUGGAAGGUUGUUCAAUGCUUUCAUUGUGACAAAUCAUAAAAACUCGCUUCUUCACAUGCUUCCACAAACAAGGCACCCAACUACUCUUUCUCUUCUUCAUUCUGAAAUUCAUACUGUUUUAAACGUGUUGGUAGAUAUGGUAAAGUUUACAGGCUUCUUCUGUUCGUAUAUGGUUAAUUUUCCAGGGAAGUGGUGAAAGGCAAGUUCUGGUGAGAGAUUAUGAUGUGGGAAAAGCAAUUGUUUUUUACUAGAGGGUUUCAAAUUUUAAGGAGGUUUACACUUUAGAUGGCAGUAGGAUGUAAACUAGAGACCCAUGCCCCGUUCCUGCAUCAACUGUUGAUGAGCUGUAUCAAGAAAUUUCGGUCUGUUCCUUUAUGUUAUCAUUAUUUCACUUGGCAAGUUCCACGUCGGACCUAAAAGAGCUCGCCUUAAAUUCCACUCGGACUCAGAGAAGUAGAGUCAAUGGCGGACCUAUUUGUAAGCCAAAUUUUAGUCCAAAGUUUCUCUCUAUUCUCUCCGUUUUCUCUUUCCUUUUUCUUAUUUUCUCUCUUUCUUCUUUAAUCCCUUCGUCCAUUUUCUUCUUUCUUUUCUCCCUCAUCUUUUUCUUUCUUCUCUCUCUUUUCUUGUUCUUCUUCUUUCUCUCCGCCAUUUUUCUUUUCUCUUUCUUUCCUUUUGUCUUCUCUAUUUGUUUUAUUAUGUCUCUGUUUCUCUCUUCUUCUUUUCCAUGCGUUUCUCUGUUUAUGCAUUGAUGGUGGUUUUAUGUUGUGAAGAUGUUGAUUGAAUAGGUGGUUUGACCAGCUUAAGCAUGUGGAUGUUUGGUGGUGGACCAGACUGUAGUCCGAAUCACAUAGGUGUCCAAAAAAAAAAAUUAGCCCACCCCUGUAAAAAAUCAUAGAUCCGCCAUUGGAAGUAGUGAUUUAUUUUCUGUGAUCAUGGCUAGGUUUAGGCACCAAGAACCCUCCUCUUCCAAUUCUUCUCCUUGUCGAUGUUGUUAUGACGUGUUCUUGAGUUUCAGGGGCAAAGACACUCGAAAGACUUUCACAGACCAUCUCUACGCAGCCUUUGUGGAGAAAGGCUUUCCCACGUUCCGAGACAAAGAAGAAGUUGAGAGGGGAGAAGGUAUAAAGCCAGAAUUGCAGAAAGCCAUCCAACAGUCGCGAAGCUCUGUCAUUGUUUUUUCAAAAGACUACGCGUCUUCCGGAUGGUGCCUUGAUGAGCUUGUCUUCAUCCUUGAACACAAGAGGAUCUCCUCAGACCAUGUAGUUUUACCAGUCUUCUACGACGUCGAUCCUUCCCACUUGAGGCACCAGACAGGAAGGGUUGGAGAAGCAUUUUCUUGGCACGAAGAAAAUCAGGAUUCACCCAACAAGAUCAAACAAUGGAGGGCAGCACUUAGAGAAGUUGCAGAUCUAUCAGGGAUGGUCUUAAAAAAUGAAGCUGAUGGGUAACUUCAUUCCAACUACCUCUUUGAUUUUUUGAUAACUUUAACUAGCUAUAGCUUUUCUUAUCAAAAUUCAUCAACUAUGCAGAUCUAUCAGGGAUGGUCUUAAAAACUAAGCUAAUGGGUGAAUGAGACUUUGUACUUUAAAGUAUUUGAUAUCAUGACAUAUUAGUUAAAUGUUAUUUAUUUUUCAUUUUAAUUGCAAUUAUUAGGUACGAGUCAAAGUUUGUCAACCAAAUUAUUAGAGAGAUUGACGACAAACUAAGUCGCAUGCGCACACCCUUUACAGUUGCACCCUACCCGAUUGGAAUGGAUUCUCGAGUUGAAUUUAUUAAUUCAUGGUUACAGGAUGGAUCAACCGAUGUUGGUAUACUUUUAAUUAAUGGGGUUGGGGGAAUUGGAAAGACAACCAUUGCGAAAUUUGCUUACAAUUCAAACUACAGAGGAUUUGAACGGCGCUGUUUCCUUGAAGAUGUCAGGGAAACUUCAAAACAGCCCAAUGGUUUAGUUCUACUGCAAAGACAAUUCCUUCACCAUAUUAUGAGUGGAAGAGAAGUGAAAAUACAUAGUGUCAGUGAGGGAAAUAAAAAGAUUAGAGAUGCCAUAAUCUCUAAACCAGUUCUUCUUGUUCUUGAUGACGUCGACCAUAUGAAGCAAAUAGAUGCAAUAUUUUCUAUGCAAGAUUGGUUUUGUCCAGGAAGUAAAAUAAUGAUAACAACUAGGUGUGCAGGGUUGUUGAGGGAUCAUGAACUCUCUAAUUGUUCAGUUUACAAUGUUGAAACUCUGAAAGCCAAUGAAUCACUGGAACUCUUCAGUUGGCAUGCUUUUCGACAAGCCCAUCCACGUGAAGAUUGGUUGAAACUUUCAGAAAUGAUAGCAGACCGAUGCGGAGGACUUCCAUUAGCUCUUCAAAUUUUGGGUUCUUCUCUAUCAGGGCGAACUAUAGAUGUGUGGAAAAGUGCACUGGAGAAAUUGAAAGCUAUUCCAAAUAAUGAAAUCCUACAAAGACUCAGAAUAAGCUACGAUGCUUUACAGGAUAACCCUGAUGACCAAAAUUUAUUCCUUCACAUUGCAUGUUUCUUUGUUGGGAAGAGAAAAGAUUAUAUUGUUAGAAUACUAGACGGAUGUGAUUUCUUCACAGUUGUUGGCAUUGAAAAUCUUAUGGAUAGAUGCUUGGUAACAGUUGAUCAAGAUGAGAAAGUGAGUAUGCAUCAAAUGAUAUGUGAUANNNNNNNNNNNNNNNNNNNNNNNNNNNNNNNNNNNNNNNNNNNNNNNNNNNNNNNNNNNNNNNNNNNNNNNNNNNNNNNNNNNNNNNNNNNNNNNNNNNNNNNNNNNNNNNNNNNNNNNNNNNNNNNNNNNNNNNNNNNNNNNNNNNNNNNNNNNNNNNNNNNNNNNNNNNNNNNNNNNNNNNNNNNNNNNNNNNNNNNNNNNNNNNNNNNNNNNNNNNNNNNNNNNNNNNNNNNNNNNNNNNNNNNNNNNNNNNNNNNNNNNNNNNNNNNNNNNNNNNNNNNNNNNNNNNNNNNNNNNNNNNNNNNNNNNNNNNNNNNNNNNNNNNNNNNNNNNNNNNNNNNNNNNNNNNNNNNNNNNNNNNNNNNNNNNNNNNNNNNNNNNNNNNNNNNNNNNNNNNNNNNNNNNNNNNNNNNNNNNNNNNNNNNNNNNNNNNNNNNNNNNNNNNNNNNNNNNNNNNNNNNNNNNNNNNNNNNNNNNNNNNNNNNNNNNNNNNNNNNNNNNNNNNNNNNNNNNNNNNNNNNNNNNNNNNNNNNNNNNNNNNNNNNNNNNNNNNNNNNNNNNNNNNNNNNNNNNNNNNNNNNNNNNNNNNNNNNNNNNNNNNNNNNNNNNNNNNNNNNNNNNNNNNNNNNNNNNNNNNNNNNNNNNNNNNNNNNNNNNNNNNNNNNNNNNNNNNNNNNNNNNNNNNNNNNNNNNNNNNNNNNNNNNNNNNNNNNNNNNNNNNNNNNNNNNNNNNNNNNNNNNNNNNNNNNNNNNNNNNNNNNNNNNNNNNNNNNNNNNNNNNNNNNNNNNNNNNNNNNNNNNNNNNNNNNNNNNNNNNNNNNNNNNNNNNNNNNNNNNNNNNNNNNNNNNNNNNNNNNNNNNNNNNNNNNNNNNNNNNNNNNNNNNNNNNNNNNNNNNNNNNNNNNNNNNNNNNNNNNNNNNNNNNNNNNNNNNNNNNNNNNNNNNNNNNNNNNNNNNNNNNNNNNNNNNNNNNNNNNNNNNNNNNNNNNNNNNNNNNNNNNNNNNNNNNNNNNNNNNNNNNNNNNNNNNNNNNNNNNNNNNNNNNNNNNNNNNNNNNNNNNNNNNNNNNNNNNNNNNNNNNNNNNNNNNNNNNNNNNNNNNNNNNNNNNNNNNNNNNNNNNNNNNNNNNNNNNNNNNNNNNNNNNNNNNNNNNNNNNNNNNNNNNNNNNNNNNNNNNNNNNNNNNNNNNNNNNNNNNNNNNNNNNNNNNNNNNNNNNNNNNNNNNNNNNNNNNNNNNNNNNNNNNNNNNNNNNNNNNNNNNNNNNNNNNNNNNNNNNNNNNNNNNNNNNNNNNNNNNNNNNNNNNNNNNNNNNNNNNNNNNNNNNNNNNNNNNNNNNNNNNNNNNNNNNNNNNNNNNNNNNNNNNNNNNNNNNNNNNNNNNNNNNNNNNNNNNNNNNNNNNNNNNNNNNNNNNNNNNNNNNNNNNNNNNNAGGCUGACAUACCCUGUAAUCACUUUUAUUAUGGAUGUACUAUAUGUGAGUAACUACCCUGCCCGCAAUCAACAGGCAAUGCCCUAGACGCAUCCGCCCCGAUGUUACUUCAUUGCUUCGGAGUGCGCGCGGCCGGAGCCCUCGUACUCCGUCGUUCCGUCUCUCUGCGUCCCGUACUCGUUAUACGAAUCGCCUGCUCACCCUUUUUGUUUAAUUGAUCUUUUUUCUGUUCUUUCAUGUCCUCUCGUUUCUGUGUCUUUCUUCCUGUCCUUCGAUUUGUGAUGAUACAAAUAUGAUAAUUAGAAUGGAGCGGGGGCGUGGGGGGAAGGGCGCGGCGGGCGGGGGCAGCGGCUAUAUAUCCUUGUUGCUUGCUAUAUAUCCUUGUGGUUGCUUGCUUAUCCAAAUGUUUCUUCUGUUUUUUUUCUUUCUUUUUUUUGAAUUUUUAUUAGGGUACAGAAACCAUUGAAGGGCCUUGCCUUGGAUAUGCAUAUGCACUCGUUAAACACUCCUUGGGGAAACUCAGAUGAGGAAGUCUUGGAAACUAAUGCAUUUGCAAGGAUGUCCAAACUAAGACUACUCCAUCUUAGUCACGUUCGAUUCAAGGGUUGCAUUGAAGAAUUUCCGAAAGGAUUAAGAUGGUUGUGUUGGCUUGAAUUUCCUCUGAAAUCUAUACCCAGUGAUUUUCCUUUGGAGUGCUUGGUUUAUCUUGAAAUGCCUCACAGUAACUUGAGACAAGUCUUUAAGGGAAUCAAGGUAUGCUACUCCACACUUGUCCAUUGUCUUUUGUUAAAUGUGGUUUAUGAUUAAUUGUACAUGCAUAAGACUUGACUCCACACAUUCUUUCUUUCUUUUUCAUUUACAGUACCUUCGCUCUUUGAAGACCGUUGAUCUAAGUCAUUCCCAUAGCCUUACUGAAAUCUCUAGCUUCUUACUGGUCCCCAAUUUAGAAAGACUUGUUCUCGAAGAUUGUAUGAGCUUGGUUGAUGUCCAUGAGUCCAUUGUAAACCUAAAGAAUCUCGUUUGCUUGAAUCUGAAAGGUUGCAGAAAGAUUAGGAAGCUUCCAAAGAAUCUUUUUAAGCUCCAAUCACUUGAUACACUUAGUCUAUCUGGCUGCUCAAAUCUCAAAGAUUUUUUGACGGAGUUGAGGAAGAUGGAGUCUUUAAAAGUGCUAGAUGUUUCCAAAAUUCCAAUAAGUCAAGUGUUCAUGACUACCACUGGAAAGGUCAACCCAAGCGUAGGGAGAACUCCAAAUAAUUUGUGGUCUUUCUUACCACGUGGUUUAGUACAUUUAAAUCUCUUGAGUUGCAAUCUUCUUGAUGAGGCUUUUCCCAAAGAUUUUGGUAACCUACCCUCAUUAAAAUUCUUAGAUCUAAGCAAAAAUCCAAUUUGUAGCCUACCACAAUGCAUCCGAGGGCUUAGGGGGCUUGUUCGACUCAACUUUUCCAAUUGCAAGAGGCUCCAAACACUUGAAGGGCUACCGAGAGUAAGAACUUUCAUUGUGGUUGGUUGCAGGAUGUUGGAAAGAGUAACAUUUCAAUCAAGUUCGUGCGUACCCUUAGAAUAUCUUAGCAUGUAUAACCCGAAGCUAGUUGAGAUCAAAUACCCGUACAACUUUGUACCUAUUGCAAGAUGUGAUGCAGAAACAAUCAAGCUUUUGGGUUUGUGCAACUUGAAAUCCGAGGGAAUCACCAUUCAAAUGUUAUUCCCAUGUAGGAGUUGGGAGUUUUGUAAGAUCAGGAAGUAUCCUAUCCAGGUGAUUCUCUCUCUCUCUCUCUCUCUCUCUCUCUCUCUCUCUCUCUCUCUCAUCACAUGGAACAUAAGAUUUGACUAAUGUUUUUAUUUAAAUGUAGGGACUAUAUGAAUAUGGUAUAUUCAGCACGUUUCUUCCUGGGAAUGUGGUGCCAGGCCAGUUCAGCCAUACAAGUAGAGGCUCUUCAAUAUCAUUUACCGUGCCUUCAGGAGAAGACAUGAUAUUCUUAAGCCAUUGGAGUUUGGAGAAUGAAGUGAAGGGUGGUGACGAAGUCACAGUUUCAAUGUUCAUGAGAUCCUUGUUUCGAUUAAAUGAGUGGGGCAUCCAGCUUGUAUACAAACAAGAUCAGGAGAAGAUGAUUGCCCCAGACGACGACAAUGCAGUUCCUUCUUUUCCAUCUGUCAUUUUAAGACAUUUGCAAGAAUUCGAGUUGAUACCAAGAACAUACUUCCUCUCCAAUGGACCAAUAUCAAGGAGAAUAUGGACAUUUGGACGUUGUGGGGAGUCGGCUUUGUUUGAUGACAUAUUUGGGGAUGGGGACUCAAACUACUCUGAUCAAGAAACAGGUGUGUCUCUCAUUUAUACUUUCUGACUCCACUCCACUCAUUUAAGAAUAGAUCCACAUUUGUAUCGUGUCAAAAGUGUUGCUCUUAUCCACAUUUUAUGGAGACUAAUUCUAGCUGUCAUUAAUUUGCAUUUUAAACAGACGAAAAUGUGCCGCAACAAGGUGUCCUGAGCAGAAAAAAUAUCCAAACGGUUGAAUCACUAAGAAGAUGGUUGCUCAACAACCGUCACAAGCAAGCUGUCUCCGCUCAUAGUACGUAUCCUCCAGGUCAAUAUAGUAAUAGUACUGACCAAUUCCGCAGCUUAUGGAUUAUAGAAUCCAAUUUGAUAGCUUUGGUUGUCUUGAUUCUUGAAAGCAAGAGUAUCUUGGUUGAUACCAUGGACAUUUGCAUUGUCUCUCAUUUCACAUUGUUGUGUAAAGCUGUUAUUAUGAGUUUCCCAACUGAAAAUGUGGAAGAAAUAACUCAGUAUCUUGUUGCAAAUUACAGAUCAUCUCAAUGACAGAAAAUUGAGCUUGGAUCUUACGUUUCUUUCUUUUUCGGCCGUUUUCAAUCUUGCUUCUCAUUACAAGUAAUGGAAAAUAUGAUUUUGUAUACUCAGUGUGUAAACCCUAUAUAAUUUAUGAACUUAAUUAAAAUCUUUCAUACUAAUGAUUCACUAAGGAAAUAAUAAUUAAAAUAUAAUUACUAAUUAAAAUGAUUAAAUAAGGCUAAAAUAUUAUUUAAUUACUAUAAAUAGAAAUUUUAACAGUAUGGCCCUCGACUAUGCCUUUGAUAUACCUUUUAUUAAUUACUAUUUAUCAAGUAAUAUAAUUUAUGAACUUAAUUAAAAUAUUUAAUACUAAUUAUCCACUAAAGAAUUAAUUAAUUAAAAAUAAUUACUAAUGAAAGUAAUUAAAUAAGGCUAAGAUAUUAUUUAAUUACUAUAAAUAGACAUUUGAAAAGUAUCUCCGCGCGGUUAUAUUAUAAAUAGAAAUUAUAACAUUAUAGCCGCUUGGCUAUACGCUAUAAGAUUUCUGCAGCCGAAAGACUUUUACCGACCAUCUCUACGCAGCCUUUGUGGACAAAGGCUUCCCCCCGUUCCGAGAUGAAGAAGAACUUGAGAGAGGAGAAGAUAUUAAGCCAAAAUUUGAGAAAGCCAUCCAACAGUCACGAAGUUCUGUCAUUGUAUUUUCAAAAGACUAUGCGCCUUCCAGAUGGUGCCUUGACGAGCUUGUCUAGAUCCUUGAACAGAAGACAAUCUCAGACCAUGUAGUCUUACCAGUCUUCUACGACGUUGAUCCUCCCCAUUCGAGCUCCNNNNNNNNNNNNNNNNNNNNNNNNNNNNNNNNNNNNNNNNNNNNNNNNNNNNNNNNNNNNNNNNNNNNNNNNNNNNNNNNNNNNNNNNNNNNNNNNNNNNGCCCCUUUCAGGGGGGGCCCUGGGGGGGUUUUUUUGGUUCUUGGAAAAGAAAAAUUUUUCGCCCCAGGUUUUUUUCCCUUUUUUUUGGGGGGGGGUUCCCCCCCUUGGGGGCCCCCCCCCCCCCCUUCCCCCAUAAAAGCCCCCCCCCCCCCCCCCACCCCGGGGUUUUUUUCACCCAAGCCCUUCCCCCCCCCCCCCCCCCCCCCCCCAAAAAAAAACGAACCCAUAACCACUGCAACCCCCAUUUUCUUCUCCCACCCCUUUUCUCCAUCUCUCUCUCUCUCUCUCCCAUUCGAGCUCCCCCCCCUCCCCUCUGUAUUUUUAAUUACAACAAAAGGGAAAGAGAUGAAUAGGUGGCCCUCUGUUUAUUAAAUAUAUAUUAUAUUAUUUCAACAUAUAAAAUGACCAAUUUGCCCUCAUAUAUAACGGCAAAUUGGAUGAAAUGUUGAGAUUUAAAAGGUAUAGGGUAAUUGGCAAUAAAAAUUAGUUCGUGUACUUAAUUUUCCAGAAACAAAUUGAGGGUGCAAAGUAAAAAUAUCAUACAAGUUCAAAAGGUAAAUCAACAGUAAACCCAUACACAGUACACUUAUUGUAUCUGCUGAAAUUCCAAUAACUCAAGUGCUCAUGAGACCGCUGGGGAAGUCAAAUCAUGCCUAAGGAGAAAUCCAUAAAAAUUUUGGGCUUUUUUACCACCUUGUUUAAAACAGUUGAAGCUCACAAGUUGCAAUCUUUCUAAUGAUGCUUUUGUUGAUGUUUGGCCCACUUAAAGAUGCAGAAGGAGUGAAGGAAAUUGGGCUCUGCCGCUCGAGCAGUAGAGCGGUACUUGUCACCCAGACCUAGGCGUUCCAACGCCUCCUCAAGCGGCAGAACGCAUACUCGAGUGGACAACAGGUGCUCGACUGGCGUGAGCAGCGCUCAAGCGGGACAUACGAUUCUAGCAUGAAUCCCAAGCGAAUCUAGAUAAAUUUUCUCCUAGUUUUGGAGUCUUUAAGUUUUCUAUUCCUUCCAUAAUUGUACUAAAGCCAUAUGACACAUAAAUAGGCAUUUUAGCACUAGGUUAUUGUAACGUGGUGAGAGAAAAGAGAGUUAAGGUUUGUGAGAGAUCAAAGGGGGUUUUUCAUUAUAACCAAAAAGGUUCUUUCAUACUAGUGAAUUUCUCGGGGAUCACCAAGAGGACGUAAGUAAAACGCCGAACCUUUAUAAAUUCUUGUGUUAUUUGUGUGUGUGUUCACUUUGUGGUUUCAUGUGUGCUUUAUCUUUGUGUGGCUUGUAUGUGAUAGUUGCAUAAUCCAUCAACAACAACUUCUUGGAGUGUUUUCACACGACAGCUUUUCCCAAAGAUUUUGAUAACAAUCUAAUUUGUGGCCUGCCAGAUUGCAUCCGAGGUCUCACGGGGCUUGAUCAACUUAGUUUUGUUAGUAGGUUUGCCAACUUGCCGUGAUGAGUAUAUUCUUCCUUUUCAACUUUUAAUCCCCUUAAAUUUUCAUAUUGCCAAAUGCAAAAGAUGAAAGGCAAAAUAUUCUGGCCCCUCCACUACCACUUUUAACAGCUACAUUUGUGCUUCUAGAAAAGGGAUGUCUCUUUUAUUUCCUUAGCAAUUGAGUGAUGGAUGACUAAGAGAAAGGGGCGGCUACAUCUAUAAUUUAUUUGCUUCACCAACCUCCUCCUUUACACGGUAUCUUUGCAAUAUCCGAAGUAGGAAACUCAAGAUCUAUAUUUUGGGUAAACAAGGCUUAGACACCAGCAAUUAAGAAGUGGUAAAGUAUUUUCAGUGAUCAUGGCUCGAUUUAGGCACCAAGAAGCCUCCUCUUCCACUUCUUCUCCUUCUCCAUGCUGUUAUGACGUGUUCUUGAGUUUCAGAGGCGAAGACACUCGAAAGAAUUUUAGCGACCAUCUCUAUACCGCUUGUGUGGAGAAAGGCUUUAACACGUUCCGGGAUGAUGAAGAACUUGAGAGAGGAGUAGAUAUUAAGCCAGAAUUGAAGAAAGCCAUCCAACAGUCACGUAGUUCUGUCAUUGUAUUUUCAAAAGACUACUCGUCGUCCAGAUGGUGCCUUGACGAGCUUGUCUUCAUCCUUGAGCAGAAGAGGAUCUCGGAACACGUAGUUUUACCUGUCUUCUAUGACGUUGAUCCUUCCCACGUGAGGAACCAGACAGGAUGUGUUGCAGAAGCAUUUUCUAGGCACGAAGAAAAUCAGCUAUCAACGAACAAGGUCAAACAAUGGCGUGCAGCACUGAGAGAAGUUGCAGAUCUAUCAGGGAUGGUCUUACAAAACCACGCUGAUGGGUAACUUCUUUCAAACUAGCUGUUCAUUUCUUAUUUAAGUUCAAUUCACUAGUCCUGUCCUGUAGGGUUUUACUUUUAGAUAUAUAAUUUGAAGCUUUUCUUAUUUAAAAAAUUCAUCAACUCUGCUCACAUAAUUAUUUUCACACACACAUAUUACACUAGUGUUAAUAUCAAUAUAAUUCUUGUUUCAGCAUAUCUGAUAACUUUGGCUUGCUCUUUGCGUGAGAGUUUGUAAUUUAACUAUUUGAAAUCAUGCAUGAAAUGUUAAUUAAUUAAACAUGAUUUAUUUUUCAAUCUUGUUGCAAUUGAUAGGUACGAGUCAAAGUUUAUCAUGCAAAUUGUUAAAGUGAUUGACAACAAACUCAGUCGCACGCCCUUCGCUAUUGCACCCUACCCGAUUGGAAUUGAUUCUCGAGUUGAAAAUAUUAAUUCAUGGUUACAGGAUGGAUCAACCGAUGUUGGAAUACUUUUAGUUAAUGGAGUUGGGGGAAUUGGAAAGACAACCCUUGCAAAAUUUGCUUACAACAUAAACUUCAGAAGAUUUGAACGAAGUUGUUUUCUUGAAGAUGUCAGGGAAAUUUCAAACCAACCCAAUGGUUUAGUUCACCUACAGAUACAAUUCCUUCACCACAUUAUGAGUGGAAGAGAAGUGAAAAUACAGUGUGUCAGUGAGGGAAUAAAAAAGAUUAGAGAUGCCAUAAUCUCUAAAACAAUUCUUCUUGUUCUUGAUGAUGUUGAUCAUAUGGACCAGAUAGAUGCAAUAUUUUUUAUGCAAGAUUGGUUUUGCCCUGGAAGUAAAAUCAUGAUAACAACUAGGUGUGCAGGAUUAUUAAGGGGUCAUCAAGUAGCUAAAAGCAAAGUUUAUGAUGCUGAAACUUUGGAUGUGGAUGAAUCAUUACAACUCUUCAGCUGGCAUGCGUUUGGCCAGGACCACCCAAUUGAGGGUUACAUUAGUCUGUCGAAAAGGGUAAAGGAUCGAUGCGGAGGACUCCCGUUAGCUCUUCAAGUUUUGGGUUCGUCUCUAUCAGGACGACAUAUAGAUGUUUGGGAAAGUACAUUGGAGAAAUUAAAAACUAUUCCAGACAAUCAAAUCAUCAAAAAACUCAGAAUAAGCUACGACGCUUUACAAGAUAACCCUGAUGACCAAAAUUUAUUCCUCCAUAUUGCAUGUUUUUUUGUUGGACAAGGGAAAGAUUAUGUUGUUAGAAUACUGGAUGGAUGUAAUUUCUUCACAAUUGUUGGCAUUGAAAAUCUUGUGAAUAGAUGUUUGGUAACAAUUGAUGAUGAAAACAACGUGAAGAUGCAUCAAAUGAUUUGGGACAUGGGAAGAGAAAUUGUUCGGCUAGAAUCAAAGGCACCUGGAAAACGUAGUAGAUUAUGGCGUGAUAAGGAUUCUUUCGAUGUAUUGAAGGAAAAGAGUGUAAGAAUGAUUCUUCUCUCAAGAUGCGAUUUUUCUUGCACAUGCACAUAUCCUUGCUGGUUACUUAUAUCCAACUGUUUUUUUUUUCAGGGUACAGAAACAAUUGAAGGUCUUGCCUUGAACAUGCGUAUGCUCUCAGUAAACACUCCUUCUGGCAAUACGAAUGAGGUAGUCUUGGAAACUAACGCAUUUUCAAGGAUGUCCAAACUAGAACUACUUCAGCUUUGUCAUUUACGACUCAAUGGAUGUUAUGAGGAAUUUCCAAAAGGAUUAAGAUGGUUGUGUUGGCUUGAAUUUCCAUCGAAAUCAUUACCUAGUGAAAUUCCUUUGGAGUGCUUGGUUUAUCUUGAAAUGCAUCAUAGUAACUUGAGACAAGUCUUUAACCGGAAAAAAAACUUGAUACAAGUUUUAAAGAAGGGAAGAAAGGUAUCCUAUCCUUGGCGGGAAUAAAUGCAUCAUACUCCAUGCUUAUCCAAUUUCUUUUGUUAAUUUUAUGUUUAAUUUUGCAUUUGUCAGAUUUAACUUCACACAAUCUUUCAUUUUGUUUUUCCACAGCACCUUCCCUCACUGAAGACCCUUGAUCUAAGUCAUUCUCAUAGCCUUACUGAAAUCGGUAACUUCUCACUGGCCCCCAACUUAGAAAGACUGAUUCUUAAAGAUUGUGCGAGCUUGGUUGAUGUUCAUGAAUCCAUUGGAAACCUAAAGAGACUCAAUUACUUGAAUAUGAAAGAUUGCAAAAAGAUUAGGAAACUUCCAAAGAAUUUAUUUAUGCUAAAAUCAGUUGAUACACUUAUUGUAUCUGGAUGCUCAAGUCUAAAUGAGUUUCCGAAGGAGCUGAGGAACAUGGAAUCUCUUAAAGUGCUAAAGGUAACUCAAGUUCUGACCACCACUGGAAACGUCAAAUCAUGCCUGAGGAGAAAUCCAGAAACUUUUUGGGCUUCUUUACCAAGUAGUUUAACACAAUUAAAGCUCAAGAGUUGCAAUCUUUCUGAUGAGGCUUUUCCCAAAGAUAUUGGUAACCUACCCUCAUUAGAACUAUUAGAUCUAAGCGACAAUCCAAUCUCUGGCCUACCAGAUUGCAUCCGAGGUGUUACACGACUUGAUCAACUUCUUUUUUCAAAUUGCAAGAGGCUCAAAACGCUUGUAGGGCUACCAAGGGCAAGAUAUUUUGGUGUGUUUGAUUGUGCAUUGUUGGAAAAAGUAACAUUUCAAUCAAGUUUGUUCGGAUUCACACCGUUUGAAGUGCUUAGCAUUAGUAACCCGAAGUUAAUUGAGAUUGAAUACAUGUACAAGUUAGAACCCCUUGGAAAUUGUGAUGUAGAAAUGCUCGAUCUUUUGGGUUUGUCCAAGUACUUGGAAUCCAUGGAAACCGUUUUGAUGAUCUUCCCAUGUAGGAUCGCAGUGGAGUCGUGCCGUGCAGUUGAGAGUACGAAGCUGGAUUGGAUCAGAAGAUAUCCCAUCCAGGUGCUUCUCUUUCUCUCUAUCGUAUACAUACAUACAUAUAUAUAUAUACACACACACACACACACAUAGACACACACACACAACAAUAUCACAAGGAAGAUGCUAUUUGACUAAUACUAGCUUACAUGUCUAUAUAUAGGGACUUUAUGAAUCUGGUAUAUUCAGCACAUUUCUUCCUGGGAAUGUGGUGCCAGGCCACUUCAGCUAUACAAGUAAAAAGUCUUGGUCAAUAUCUUUUAGUGUGCCUUCUUCUACUUCUACUUUCAGGAUUCGAGGUUUGAAUGUCUUCUCUAUGUAUACAUGUUCUGGUAGUGGUUCUUAUGCUGGUUACAGUUGUGAGAUAAUUAGUCCAAUAAUAAUCAAAGUUAGCAACAAAAGCACGGGAAUGAAGUGGAUCUAUGACCCAUCAUGCUUCGGUAUUCCAGAUCCUGGAGAAGACAUGAUAUUCUUAAGCCAUUGGAAGAUGGGGAAUCAAUUAUUGAAAGGUGGCGACCAAGUCACAGUUUCCAUGUUCAUGAGAUCUGUCUUUCAGCUGAAGGAGUGGGGCGUCCAGCUUGUGCACGAGCAAGAUCAAGAGAAUAUCAGGAUGAUGAGGACCCAACAUGACAAUGAUGAUUAUGAGUGUCCAGUUUCUUUUCCAUGUGUCAUUUUUGGACGUUCGCCAGAAUUCGAGGUGAUGUCAAGAACAUACUUCCUGUCGCAUGGACCACAAUCAAGGAGAGCACUGACGUUUACUCGUUGGAGGGAUUCGGUUUUGUUUAAUGACAUAUUUGGGGACUCUGAUCAACAAGGUGGGCAUGCAUCUCUCUCAUUUAUAUCAUUCAACACAAGUUUUAUUGUGUUUGUUUAUGUUGAGCGAAUCCACGUUUGUAUAUCUAUCGAAAGUUUUCCUUUCUUCUAUGUCGACUAAUCUUCUGCCAACUGCAUUUUCAACAGAGGAACAAGCACUGCCGCUUGCAACAACAAUGAGGGACGCCGGGGACAAUAGAUACUUUGUGUUUUCCAUGUUGGCGGUAGAUGUCCUAUACGACAAUGUAGUUUUACGCAGUUGCCUUUUUGGAACUCAGUCGUGAGAGAAGAGGCCAUAAGCUAUCCAUGAAUUUGUUGUAGUUGAGUUCUGUCACCUUUGGGAUUCUUUUUCCUCUGCCAGGUUCUCAAUCUCACUUUCUUUUUCCUUGCGUUAUGAUGAGCUUAUUUUCUGAUGUAAUUUGGUAUAAAAAGAAGGAAAAUGAAAGAAAAACAUAUGAAACCAAAAGGACAAAAAGAACAAGGUUCAUAUGCAUGACUGACAAGGUAUCAAAGUUCAUAUGCAUGACAAAAAAAUUAUAUGAUUUAACAUGCCUUGUACUACCUGACUGGGGAUUUGGCGUCCAUUAAGGGAGAGGUGCUAGAUACCUUGAGCUUAUACCCUGGAAGCACGUGCACGUAAAUUGAGAAAAAACUUGUCAUGGUCCUCUCAAAUGGAAACGCUUCCUUCUCCGGCACCAUUGAAGCUCUCAAAAGAGCUUAUUAUCAAACAUUCCAUGUGUCAAAUUCUUCGAUUGAAGAAACGUCUCCAUGCUCAAACAAAUCCUGGCCUAAUUAUUUUGUUGUACAUGUACAUUCACUAAAAGUUCUUCUAAUUGUGGGGCUAAUUCAUUUUUUAUGUAAAAAAAAGUCUUAUAUAGCAUUAACAACAUUAUACUUAAGGUGGAAGAGGGAAAAAAAAAAUACAAUUGGGGGCCAAUAGCUUAUACUUGGCCUUUACUGGAACUGCCAGUGUUGUGAAGUUGGAGAAUAAUUUGUAUAUCAUAAGAUAGCAUUGUUUUGAUAUUUCGAACCGAUCACAUUUUAUCAUGCAUUAUAAAAAUUUCAUGACAGACACAAUUGAACGUCAUAGGGGGGAUAUGUAAAUUUUUAUCCUAAAGUUUGGCUCUUUUUAUGACAAAACAGUUAACUUUUGUGCUUCCCUGGGUUCAAUCAAUCCAUUACUUUGACUUGAGUAACAAAUACUUUUUUAUUAGUGCACAAUUACAUUUCUGUAAAUGCUUUUGUAACUUUUAAAAAAAAAAAAUCGUAUUUAAAAUGAAAAAUAUAAAAACAACAAUUCAACACAAAGAUGAGAUGACAUGACACCCAUUUCCUAUACAAAGAUUGGGCCCACAGCUAUUCAAUAAUUUCGUACACUGCCACCGUCAUCAACCCCCGCCAACAUCAAGAUGACGCCCCAAAAAAUGGGGUUUCAUCCUUAAUCUCUGUCAUUGCGGCUAAUUUUGAAGGGGAAUGCUCCGUUCCUCAAGCAUGAGGAGCAGGAGCUCCUCCCUAUAGCUCAUCCAUGUUUUUUUACUUGUGCUUGACUUUGUAUCCAUACACAACGUAAUGUCAAACACUUUUCCAUUAUCAGAACAAAGAAUUCAAAUAAGCAAAGAGUUUUAUUUUAUUUAGUGUCUAGUGAUUAACUCAAAGUUUUUUUUUUUUUUUUUUUUUCCUUUCUGUUGAUAGGUUGUUAACUUGCCGUUCAACCUGUGGUGCUUUGUGCUGUUUCAACCUCCUGGCCUUAACUUGUUCGACGUAAUGUCCCAGAGAGAUUGUUUUUUAUUCGGCCUGACUCCCUAACACCUUUGAGGUAUGUUUGUUCAAACUCUAGAUGUAUAGUGUGGUGCAGUACAUGUUUGUGGCGGGAAAUUACAUGAACUCAAAUUAUAUGUUUAUAAAAAGAUCAAAGUGUGUUUCAAGUUGAUCAUGAUAUUUUAAUUUUUAAGUACCUUGUGGUGUGCUUACUUGGGUGGUGUGAUUCAAGGUUUAACAGGUCAACUUUAGAAAGCAUAAAUCACUUCAAAUAGAAGCAAAAAAGAGAAGUUUUAUGUUUAAGAAGACGUAGGCAAUUCCUAAUUACUAUUUUUACUUUUGCAAUUAUAUCUAAUGAUAUAUAUUUUUUGUAGUCCUUUAUAUAUCUCGUGCAUUGAAAAUGGUAUCACCAAAAAUAUAAUUUAAAAUUUCAAUUAAUAAAUAUAUUCUUCAUUUUUAAUUUUUAAUCGCCUUUGAUUUUCAUAUUGCCAAAUGCAAAGGAAGAAAGAGACAGCUCUCUGUUUAACUUAUCACUAAGAAAGGCAAAACUGGCCCCUCCACGACCACUCUUACCAGCUACCAUUUGUGCUUUUGUCUUUUAUUUUCCUUUGCAAUUGCGUGAUUUAUGACUCAUAGAAACAAGCGGCAACACUGUCCUUAAUUUAUUUCCUUGACCAAUACAUUCACCACCUCCUUUACACGGUAUCUUGGCCAUAUACGAAGUAGGAACUCAAGAGGUAGCCUUAAAUUCCACUCAGACUCAGAGACACCAGCAAUUAAAAAAUGAUUUACUAUUUUCUGUGAUCAUGGCUCGAUUUGGGGAACAAGAAGCCUCCUCUUCCAGUUCUUCUCCCACUCGAUGUUGUUAUCAUGUGUUCUUGAGUUUCAGAGGCGAAGACACUUGAAGGGCUUUUACCGACCAGCUCUACACAGCCUUUGUGGAGUAAGGCUUUCCCACGUUCCGAGAUGAAGAAGAACUUGAGAGAGGAGAAGAUAUUAAGCCAGAAUUUGAGAAAGCCAUCCAACAGUCACGAAGUUCUGUCAUUGUAUUUUCAAAAGACUACCCAUCUUCCAGAUGGUGCCUUGACGAGCUUGUCUUGAUCCUCAAACAGAAGAGGAUCUCAGACCAUGUAGUCUUACUAGUCUUCUACAACGUUGAUCCUUCCCACAUGAGGCACCAAACAGGAAGUGUUGGAGAAGCAUUUGCUAGGCAUGAAGAAAAUCAGCAAUCACCGAACAAGGUCAAACAACGGAGGGCAGCACUAAGAGAAGUUGCAGAUCUAGCAGGGAUGGUCUUACAAAACCAAGCUAAUGGGUAACUUCAUUCCAACUAUUCCAUUUUUUAUUCAAUUAUUUUUUUUUAUAACUUGAAUUAGAUAUUAUAAUUCAUCAACUCUGCUGAUAUUCCUGUGUCUCCAAAAUACUGAAUACGUCUAAAAGGACUAAAGAGUAGUAUACUUCUAUCAUUAUGAUGGAAGAAUGAAAGGCUAAUUAAUAAUUCAAAGUUGAAUUUGAAAAACUUCUACAACAUAUAUAAUUAAGUCAAGGUGCCUGAUACGAUGACAAUCACUUUAAAUGAGAUCAAAAGCAAAUUAUAGUUCAAUGAUCCGUAGUCACUAGAUUCCCCAUUUACACACAUUGUAUUGCACUAUCAGUUAAAUUUUCAAUAGUAUGUGCUAUUUUUCUAUCCCCAAUAUCAUGUAUUGAUAAUCCCAUUGUUCCUAGUACAUUAUUUGAAAACUUUGACAUGUUAUUUGCAUGAGACUUUGUAAUUUAAUUAUCUGAUAUCAUGACAUGUUAUAAAUGUUACUUAUUUUUCAUUUUGAUUGCAAUUCUUAGGUAUGAGUCAAAGUUUGUCAAGCAAAUUGUUAAAGUGGUUGACGAAAAACUAAGUCGCAUGCGCACACCCUUUAUAGUUGCAUCUUACCCGAUUGGAAUUGAUUCUCGAGUCAAAUAUAUUAAUUCAUGGUUAAAAGAUGGAUCAGCUGAUGUUGGUAUAAUUUUAGUUAAUGGGAUUGGCGGAAUUGGAAAGACUACCAUUGCGAAAUUUGUUUAUAAUCUGAACUUAGAAAAUUUGACGGAAGUUGUUUCCUUGAAGAUGUCAGAGAAACUUCAAGACAACCCAAUGGUUUAGUGCAACUACAACUUCAAUUUCUUUAUCAUAUUUUAAGUGGAAGAGGAGUGAAAAUACAUAGUGUUAGUGAGGGAAUAAAUAAGAUUAGAGAUGCCAUAAUCUCUAAAAGAGUUCUUGUUCUCGAUGAUGUGGAUGAUAUGCACCAAAUAAAAGCAAUAUUUGGGAUGCUAGAUUGGUUUUAUCCACGUAGUAAAAUAAUCAUAACUAGGUAUGCAGGGUUGCUAAGGGAUCAUGAACUCUCUACUUGCAAAGUUUACAACGUUGAAACUCUGAAAGCCAAUGAAUCACUGGAACUCUUCAGUUGGCAUGCUUUUGGACAAGCCCAUCCAUGUGAAGAUUACAUGAAACUUUCAGAGAUGAUAGCAGACCGAUGCAAAGGACUUUCAUUAGCUCUUCAAGUUUUAGGAUCUUCUCUAUUUGGACGAACUAUAGAUGUAUGGAAAAGUGCACUAGAGAAAUUAAAAGCUAUUCCAAAUAAUGAAAUCCUCCAAAGACUCAGAAUAAGCUACGAUGCUUUACAGGAUAACCCCGAUGACCAAAAUUUAUUCCUUCACUUGCAUGCUUCUUUGUCGGAAAGAGAAAAGAUUAUAUUGUUAGGGUACUAGAUGGAUGUGAUUUCUUCACAAUUGUUGGCAUUGAAAAUCUUCUGGAUAGAUGCUUGGUAACAGUUGAUGAAAAUCAGAAGGUGAGUAUGCAUCAAAUGAUCUGUGACAUGGGAAGAGAAAUUGUUCACCUAGGAUCAAAGGAGCCUGAGAAGCCUAGUAGAUUAUGGAAUGAUACAGAUUCCUUCAAUUUAUUGAGAGAAAAGAGUGUACGAAUCAUUCUCUUCUUAUGUUUAUGCAUGCAUUUUUUCCUUUUGGGGCCUAUAUAUAUUGCUGCUUGUUUAUCCAAAUGUUUCUUUUUUUAUUAGGGUACAGAAACCAUUGAAGGCCUCGGCUUGGAUAUGCAUAUGCACUCGGUAAACACUCCUUGGGGAGAUUCAGAUGAGAUGGUCUUUAAAACUACUGCAUUUGCAAGGAUGCCCAAACUAAGACUACUCCAUCUUAGUCAUGUACGAUUUAAGGGAUGCUAUGAAGAAUUUCCGAAAGGAUUAAGAUGGUUGUGUUGGCUUGAAUUUCCUUUGAAAUCUCUACCCAGUGAUCUUCCUUUAGAGCGCUUGGUUUAUCUAGAAAUGCCUCAUAGUAACGUGAGACAGGUGUUUAAGGGAAUAAAGGUACGCUACUCCACACGUAUCCAUUAUCUUUUGUUUAAGAUGGUUUAUGAUUAAUUUUACGUGUAUAAGAUGUAACUCCACACCUUCUUUCUUUGUUUUUCUUUCACAGUACCUUCCCUCUUUGAAGAAUGUUGAUCUAGGUCAUUCCCAUUGCCUUACUGAAAUCUCUGAUUCUCGCUGGUCCCCAAUUUAGAAAGUCUUGUUCUUGAAGAUUGUUCGAGCUUGGUUGAUGUCCAUGAGUCCAUUGGAAACCUAAAUAGACUAGUUUACUUGAAUUUGAAAGGUUGCAAAAAGAUUAGGAAGCUUCCAAAGAAUCUUUUUAAUCUCCAGUCACUUGAUACACUUCCUCUAUCUGGCUGCUCAAAUGUCAAAUCUUAAUGAGUUUUGGACAGAAUUGGGGAAGAUGAAGUCCCUAAAAGUGCUAGAUGUAGCCGAAAUUCCAAUAAGUCAAGUGUUCAUGACUACCACUGGAGAGGUCAAACCACGAAUAGGGAGAAAUCCAGAAAGUUUGUGGUCUAUCUUACCACGUUGUUUAGCACAUUUAAGCAUCAGGAGUUGCAGUCUUUCUGAUGAGGCUUAUCCCAAGGAUUUUGGUCACCUACGCUCAUUAGAAUUCUUAGGCCUAAGCAAAAAUCCAAUUCGUGGCCUACCACAUGGUGUCCGAGGUCUUAGGGGGCUUGUUCGACUCGUUAUUACCCAGUGCUAUAGUCUCCAAACACUUAAAGGGCUACUGAGAGUAACAAAUUUCGCUGUGGUUGAUUGCAGGUUGUUGGAAAGAAUAACGUUUCAAUCAAGUUUGUGCGUACCUAUAGAAUUGCUUAGCAUGCAUAACCCCAAGCUAGUUGAGAUUGAAUGCUUAUACAAGUUUGUACCCAUUGCAAGAUGUGAUGCAGAAACCAUCAAACUUUUGGGUUUGUGCAACUUGAAAUUCAAGGGAAUUACCAUUUGAAUGUUAUUCCCAAGCAGGAAUAGCAUAUUUGAUGAGGUCUAUAAGUAUCACAUCCAGGUGAUUCUCUCUCUCUCUCUCUCUCUCUCUCUCUCUCAUAUAUAUCACAUGCAACAUAAGAUUUGACCAAUGUUUUGAUUUCUAUGGCAUGCAUAUGUUAGGUACUAUAUGAAUAUGGUAUAAUCAGCACGUUUCUUCCUGUGAAUGUGGUGCCAGGACAAUUCAGCCAUAAAAAUAGAGGCUCUUGUUCAAUAUCUUUUACUGUGCCUUGUUCUAACCUCAGGAUUCGAGGCUUGAAUAUCUUCUCUGUAUAUACAGUCAAUGAUGGUGAUUUAGAUCCUGGUUAUAGUUGUGACAAAAUUAGUCCAAUAGUCACCAAAGUCCAUAAUAAGAGCACGGGAAUGAAGUGGAUCUAUGACCCGUCCUUAAUCGGCUUUCCGGAUUUAGGAGAAGACAUGAUAUUCUUAAGCCAUUGGAGUUUGGGGAAUGAACUGAAAGGUGGUGACCAAGUCAUAGUUUCAAUGUUCAUGAGAUCUUUGUUUCAAGUAAAUGAGUGGGGCAUCCAGCUUGUACACGAGCAACACCAAGAUCAAGAGAAGAUGAUGAUUAUGAUUGCCCAACAAGACGACAACACAGUUCCUUCUUUUCCGUCUGUCGUUGUUGGACGUUUGCCAGAAUUUGAGAUGAUACCAAGAACAUACUUCCUCUCCAAUGGACCAUUAUCAAGGAGAACAUUGACAUUUGGGCAUUGGAGGGAGUCGGAUUUGUUUGAUGACAUAUUUGGGGAUGGGGACUCACACUACUCUGAUGAAGAAACAGGUGUGUGUGUGUGUGUGUGUGUGUGUGUGUGUGUGUGUCUCUCUCUCUCUCUCUCUCUCUCUCUCAUUUAUAUGUAAUUUAGAUCCACAUUCAUAUCAAAAGUUUUGCUCUGAUCCACGUUCUGGCUCUGGCAUUAAUUUGCAUUUUGAUGAACAGACAAACAAGUGCUGCAACAAGGUUCCAGAACAAAAUCCAAAAGGUUGAACCACGAAGUAGGCUGCGCAAGUAUCAUGUCCUGUUCAUGUUACGUGUCCUCUAUGACAAUACACUACUGGCAAGUUGUGCAACUUAGGAUUAUAGGCAUGUAUGAUUGGUUUUUUUAUGUUGUGUUUAUCCUUGAACGCAAGAGUACAUGUAGUUACCAGUCUUCUAGGGUACCUACACCUGAGAAAGCAGACAGCGAGUGUUGAAGGAGGGAGGCAUUUGCUCGACAUGAAGAAAAUCAUCAAUCAAGGUCAGACAAUCUGUUGGAGAAUACAAUACAAAGACAAUUUUGGAAUAUCAUUGAAAGUUGAGCUUCAAUCUUGCUUUUUUUUCUUUAUGGUCGUUUUCAAUCUUGCUUCUCGUUAAAAUAUGAGCAGUAGAAAAACAAUAUUUGGUAUACAUAUAUGUUAACGCCUUUGUGAAUCCCACAGAACCCAUUUCCUGUAAAUAUUUUACACUAAAAAGUCAUACAUUUGACCAAGCCCCCCCUCGGCAGCACCAACGCAUGGCGCCAAUCGAAACUGUAAUGUCGAAACCAAGGCAAAAAGUUGCCCCGCGCACAAUAUGGCUUGGGCGCCAAUUGAAAUUGCAAAGUUUAAAACCAAGGCAAAAAGUUGCCCGCCCAAAGUUUAAAACCACCAUAUGGGGGAUUUCACAUCGAGAACAUAUAGGAUUUUCCUUUUCAAAUUCAACCAAAAACCAAUUUGAACCAACCAUUUGUUACUUUAAAACCUAAUUACAUGCAAACGAAGACAUUGAUUCAAGAAACAUAGGGGCAAAUGCAAUGCCCCAAACCAAUUUCAUCAACCUAGGGGCAUUGUUUCAAACACCAUUAGGGCACAAAGAUCUAACAUCAUUUACACGCCCAACUCCAGCACAUGGACAUUGGAACAAAAUUCACGUUACAGAAACCAUCAUUAAGUACAUGGGAUUUCAUUUCAAAUUUGAGAUCACAAUAUUCCAGGUAUAAUCCAUGUGAGCGCAGAAUUCAGAUCAUAUAAACCAUAGUAUUUCGUUGAAAGAACUGAUAGUGAAUUACAUAUCUACUAAACUAAACCCUAAAUCUAAACACUUGACAUCGAAAAACUACAUAUCCAGAACAGAGCAGAACCCACCACACUUCAAGAACUUGUAAACUUGGUCACCGCCUUAGUCCCUUCAGACACCGCGUGCUUAGCGAGCUCACCAGGAAGCACAAGCCUCACAGCAGUCUGGAUCUCCCGAGAAGUAAUGGUCGGCUUCUUGUUGUACCUUGCAAGCCUGGAAGACUCCUGGGCGAGCUUCUCAAAGAUGUCGUUGAUGAAGCUGUUCAUGAUGCCCAUGGCCUUGCUGGAGAUCCCAAUAUCAGGGUGAACCUGCUUCAGCACCUUGAAGAUAUAGAUCUUGUAGGUCUCUACGCUCUUCUUCGAUCUCUUCUUCUUCUUAUCUCCGGCGGCGGCUCCGGCCUCCUUGGGGAGCUUCUUGCCGGCCUUGGGCUUCUUCUCGGCCGGGGCUUUCUCAGCCACAGUCGACUUCUUCUCCUCCGCUGGCUUCUUCUCGGCGGGCUUCUUCUCAGCUUUCGGCGCCAUUGGAGUUGUGAGAGAAAAGUUAGGGUUUGGGAAUUUGGGA